rnacentral:lncRNA from 1 species
CACUCUAUCUCUCUCAAUCUAGUAGAAACUAGAAGAUCUAUUUCUACCUUACAUUGGUUGCUAAGCCUAAAAAGAAAUAUUAUUUAGAGAAGAGGUUUUCCUUCGAGGGCACCCCUCAAUCUCUAUGAUAAUUUCUUGUCUUCUCCAGGGGCCAGGGGGCCUUGCUUAUAUAGUCCUCCCCUUCUAUGCGUUUUUGGGUCGAUAGGCGAGGUGGUACUAUGUUUUUCUUGAUCCAAUAGGUCGGUGGAAUAUCCCGAGCGAAAGAGUCCUGAUUUGGCUCCAACAGGGGGGCGGGCGCCCAGGCUACUAGGGCGGGCGCCCUAGGCCUGGCCCCUUUCGGGCUCCGCUUCCUUCCCGUGGCUUCUGGAGUCUUCUAGAUGGUAGAAAAUUGCGCGGUGGUUUGAUAUCUUUAUGUAAUCCCGACAUGUGGGCCUUUCUUCCUUAUUUCCUGAUAACCCCCUGCAGAAAUAGACAAACACCAAAACUCGUGGAAUUCUGUCAGAUAAAACCCUAAGUCUAUAUGUUGAUUUCAUUUGGAUCCUUUUCUUUGUUUAUUUGAUAAUUAAAUUUGAUACUUAAGGACCGUCAACAGUCGUUGUCCCGAUCUUCACAACGUAGGAUAACUAGCUGAAGAUCAGCUGAUAACUUGCUGCAAGCAGCGAGGAUAACUAGUGCAACCUGACGACACGCACAAGGAGCCAACCACCGUCUCUAUACGGCAGCCUAAACUAAGGAUUCUCCCAACCACACUCUCAAAGAACCAACCUGCACAACCUGAACUCGAGGAUCAGGAGCACGGAUUGGGUGCCGAUGAUGUGGCCGCUUCUGUAAUCUCCGCGAAGGAAAACACAAGAGCAAAGGGGUAGAGAUCUCUCUCUGAAUUUGUUAGCGCACAGCUGAACAAAGUGGUUUGUAUUCUCAAUAUCAUAAGUCUGAGAUAACAAUGAGUCUAGGGGGUAUUUAUACUAGCAACAGCCCUGCUAGAUAGGUGGAAAGUCGAAACAAAAUAGUUAAUACGAACUGUGUGAAUGGGCCUCCUCGAGACGCCUUCCUCGAGAGUUUCUGCGUGGUCGUUUUGUCUUCUGUGCAGUCUUCAAUAUUUUAGCCAUAGCUCCUUCUUGGUAACUCCAAAUGACGUGCGGUUUGUUGCAAUGGAAAGUUAACUUGAUAAGCUUUCACUCCAUGUGCAGAAUGUACCAUGAAACCUGGUAGAUUGAUACUGUUUUGCAUGGCAACUUGAACUUCAUGCAGACUGAUGACUCAAUGACCAGUGUCGACUAAAACAGGUUGGCAGCUUUACUGGCAUUACCAAACAGGUCGGUACCGGUGGUAUUAGAAAGUAGACUCGAAGAGCUUUCCAACAAGUGCUCAUGGGCCUUCAUAGUAUCUCGGAAGUGAAAGUUAUGAUCUUUUCUUUCAACUGGUCCGUUCUACACCGCACUGGUCCGAUCUGCCCUUCUUUCAACUGGUCCGUUCUGCACCGUGUUGUUCCAAUCCUUGCGGUCCAGGUCACCUCCCUCCUCAUGUGUAUACCUAAGCACAACCAAAGUAGAACACUUAAGUAGUAUAGUAUUCUCAUUAACAUUAAUAGAACUCUAAGAAAGUAGCGCGUUCACCUCUUGUUAUAGCUUCUUGGCUCGGCUAUGUGUAAUUGCUCCAUCAAUGGCUUGGGCUGGUGCCGGCGUAGUCGGUGUAGAGGUUGGCGUGGAAUUAGAGGGAGCAUGCUUGGUUGGGAUGUACUCAUCAUCCUCCCCCUCUUGAAAAGGAGUCGACCUCGACUCUAAUUCUUCUAAUCCGAAGAAUGGUGUCAAGUCAGCAACAUUGAAGGUUGUGCUAACACCAUAAUCUUCAGGAAGCUCAAUCUUGUAGGCAUUAUCAUUGAUCCUGAACAGCACUCUGAAUGGACCAUCUCCCCGUGGCAUCAACUUGGAUUUACGCUUCUCAGGAAAGCGGUCUUUGCGAAGAUGUAUCCACACUAAAUCUCUGGGCUCAAAUAUCACCUUCUUGCGAUUCUUGUUUGCCCAAUCAGCAUAGUACUUGGACCUUCUUUCGAUUGCUUCUUUGGUCUUCUCAUGAAUCUUCUUGACAUAUGAUGCACGCUUGGAUGCUUCCAUGUUAAUCCUUUCCUGCAAUGGUAGAGGCAACAAAUCGAUCAGAGCAAGGGGUUUGAAUCCAUACACAACUUCAAAAUGACACAUAUUAGUUGUAGAAUGUACUGCCCUGUUGUAAGCGAAUUCCACAUGUGGCAAGCACUCUUCCCACUCCUUUGGGUUCUUCUUUAUCAAGGCUCGUAGCAGCAUAGAAAGUGUUCUAUUCACAACUUCAGUUUGUCCAUCCGUUUGAGGAUGACAAGUGGUGGAAAACAGCAGCCUUGUUCCAAGCUUUGCCCACAAUGUCUUCCAAAAGUAGCUCAAGAACUUGGUGUCACGGUCUGAAACAAUUGGUUUGGGCACGCCGUGUAAUCUUACAAUAUCCCUGAAAAAUAGGGAGGCUACGUGGGAAGCAUCAUCGCUUUUAUGAAAAGGUAUAAAAUGUGCCAUUUUAGAGAACCGAUCAACUACAACAAAAUUUGAAUCCAUUCUCCUCUUUGUCCUAGGUAAACCCAAAAACAAAAUCCAUGCUAAUAUCUUCCCAAGGGGUACUAGGAAUAGGCAAGGGAGUAUAUAAUCCAUGAGGGUUCAGUUUUGACUUAGCUUUGUGACAUGUGAUGCAUCUUUGCACAAGUCGUUGGACGUCUCUUCUCAUCUUUGGCCAGUAGAAGUGAUCAGCUAGCAUCUCAUAUGUCUUUCUCCAUCCAAAGUGACCCAUCAAUCCACCUGCAUGUGUUUCCUGCAGCAACAAAAGCCUAACAGAGCAGUGGGGUACACACAAUUUGUUAGCUCAAAACAAAAAUCCAUCAUGUAUAUGAUAUUUUCCCACCCUUUUCCAGUUGUACAGUUUGCAAAUGGUUCUGAAAAUUCAUGAUCAGUAGGGUACAAUUCUUUUAUGCUUUCAAGUCCUGGAACCUUGACAUCUAGUUGAUUCAACAAAACAUUUUUACGUGACAAAGCAUCAGCAACAAUGUUUUCUUUACCUUUCUUAUAUUUCACAACAUAUGGAAAAGUUUCAAUGAAUUCAACCCAUUUGGCAUGUCUACGAUUCAGUUUUGCUUGCCCCUUUAAAUAUUUCAAAGCCUCAUGGUCUGAAUGAAUAACAAAUUCUUUUGGCCAUAAAUAAUGUUGCCAAGUCUCAAGAGCUCUUACCAAAGCAUACAAUUCUUUGUCAUACACCGAGUAGUUCAGUUGCGCACCUCCUAACUUCUCACUGAAGUAUGCAACCGGCUGUCCAUUUUGCAUUAGGACACCACCGAUUCCGAUCCCACUUGCAUCACAUUCAACCUCAAAGGUUUUAGUGAAAUCCGGUAACACCAGCAAGGGGGCUUCGGAUAGCCUCUUCUUCAAUUCUUGGAAUGCUCUCUCUUGUGGUUCACCCCAUUGGAAGGCAACACCUUUCUUUGUUAACUCAUUCAACGGAGCAGCUAUGGUGCUGAAAUCUCUCACAAAUCUCCUGUAAAAACCAGCAAGUCCAUGAAAACUUCUCACCUGACUCAUAUUUUUAUGGAGUUGGCCAAUCCUUGAUUGCUUUCACCUUUGAUUCAUCAACCUGAAUUCCUGAACCUGAAACAACAAAACCAAGAAACACAACCUGAUCUGUACAAAAUGUGCACUUCUCAAGGUUAGCAAAUAUUUUUUCUUUUCUUAGCACAUCCAAAACUUGCUUAAUAUGAUGAACAUGUUCCUCCAAUGUCUUGCUGUAAAUUAGAAUAUCAUCAAAGUAAACAACAACAAACUUUCCAAUGAAUGCUCGCAAGACUUGGUUCAUCAAUCUCAUGAACGUACUAGGGGCAUUGGUCAAACCAAAAGGCAUAACUAACCAUUCAUACAGCCCAAACUUUUUUUUAAAAUCAGUUUUCUAUUCAUCUCCAAUCUUCAUUCUAAUUUGAUGGUAACCACUUCUCAAAUCAAUUUUAGAAAAUAUCAUAGAACCACUCAAUUCAUCAAGCAUAUCAUCUAGCCUAGGAAUAAGACGACGAUAACGAACGGUGAUGUUGUUUAUGGCUCUACAAUCUACACACAUCCUCCAAGAACCAUCUUUCUUUGGCACCAAAAUCAUAGGAACAGCACAACGACUUAAACUUUCUCGCACAUAUCCUUUAUCUAAAAGUUCUUGUACUUGCCUUUGAAUCUCCUUAGUUUCUUCUGGAUUGGUGCGGUACGCUGGACAGUUUGGAAGUGCAGCUCCAGGGAUGAGAUCAAUUUGAUGUUCAAUACCGCGCAAAGGAGGAAGUCCAGCAGGUGUUUCCUUUGGAAAAACAUCUUCAUAGUCCUGCAAAACAUGUGCAACAACACUAGGGACAGAUGUUAAGUCAUUAGCUGAAAGCAAUGUGUCCUUGCACACAAGUACAAAUAGUACUUGCUCUGGGUUUUUCCUCACAUCUCUCAUUUCAGAUUUGGUGGCUAUCAUCACAAAGUUCUCUCCCUCUCUUUUUCUAUCAUCUCUCAUGUUUGGCCUGUGGCUCUCACUCACUGAUUUGUGGAGGGCACUCAAAUUAUUUUUCUCUCCUUUUGCACUCUCAUUCCUCACUUCGGAGCUCUUUUGCAAGUGCUCAGCUAGGAUUUGCUGCGGUGUCAUGGGUUUAAGAAUCAACUUCUUGUUCUUCCACUUGAUGGUGUAUUGAUUGGUUCUACCACAAUGUAGAGACGAUCGAUCAUAUUGCCAUGGUCUUCCCAACAGCAUGUGGCACACUGUCAUAGGCGCCACAUCACACUCUACAGUGUCAAUAUAUUCACCAAUUAUCGAGGGUAUCAGUAAGGGGUAUCCAAACUGAUGCACAUAACGAGAUUAUCCGUGCACAAAUCAAGGCCCACAACUCGACGCUCUAGUCAGCCACACAUACAGUCAUCGACGACCGUAGCCUCGAAGACGGAAAAGGCGUCGAGCGAAUCGCUCAGGGGUCGAGCGUCGACUACCGUCGAAUGCGGGAAUGGGCACGAGCGAAUCGGGAAGCGUCGAGCGCAAGGACACUGUCCGCCGCCUGACGCACGCACGAGAGCCAGGGCAUUUAAUGCGCCUAACGCUUUCCCACCUAACACGCUGGUCACGGGAAGCGUGAUAGGCAACAGGCACCCGUCCCGUCGUUCUUUUUGCAGCCUUCCCCACCAAACGACCCAGGGCGUGUCAGGACAUGGGAAACAGGGAUGGAACAUCUAAACAGGACCCCCUCGAGACAACCAAGGUCAGCGCUCCGGAUAUCAGGGCAUUGCACGGCGUCUGACCCUCGACCAGACAUGGUUCCUUCCUGGGGACGAGUUGGGCGUUGACUGACAACACCGCAACCACUCCGCCGGAUCUGCCGCCAUAUCGUACAGGCAUGCGACCGGUGAACCAGCCCAAGACGGCGCGUAGAGCAGGAUACAGGAGCACGCGUAAUCAUCAUCAAGCUACCGAGACGGGACGGCUCGAGAUCACGCCGGUACGGAGGCCUUGAGUAGGUCAGCGCGCCAUGCUUCUAUCGACCCCUACUCUGACACCUAUGCAUGUACCCUAGGUCUCUCCUUGGUGCUAUAAAAGGAAGGACCCGGGAAUAGAUAGCGAUCACGCAACACUACAUCCAUACGCAGUAGAACUCCCAUACUCCAUACCACGCUUGUAUUCGCCCCUGUACAAGCACUUAGGUGCAAGAUAAUACAAACUUCCCUCCCUCGCUGGACGUUGGGCCUUCUUUUGCCCGAACCAGGAUAAAUCUCUGUGUCUUCUUGCAUCACCAUCUUGGAAAGGGAGCACGCAUACAAAUUUACUCGUUGGUGUGACCCCCCGUGGGGAAAACACCGACACCAAUCUUGAAUGGAACUUUCACUCUUUGUGCAAUCUUAAUAGAACCUGAAUUAUUAAGCUAUUGCACAUGAUAUGGAUGGGGAUGUUUCAGCAGCUUCAACCCAAGCUUUUCAACCAUUUCUUUGCUUGCAAGAUUGUGGCGACUGCCACCAUCAAUGAUCACUUUGACAACCAUAUCUUGCACAUUAGCUCUAGUCUAAAAAAGAUUGUGCCGCUGUCCAUUUUCAGCAUCGCUCAUUUGUACACUCAAAAUCUGAGUUACAACAAGAGCAGCGCCAGAUUCAAAUUCACAGAUGUCCUUCUCAAGAUUACUCUCACUUCCACUAUCUUCUUGUUCUUCCUCACUAGCAGAUUCAUACUCCCCUUGAUCAUUCACAAUGAUGGUUCUAGUGUUUGGACACUCUCUUGCAACAUGACCAUGACCACCACACUUGAAGCACUGAAUUCCACUACUCUUGCUGGAAGAACCCAUUGAGUUUGCUGAUUUGAAUUUCUCAUUUUGAGCAGCCAACUCUUUGCUACUAGAAGAACCAAGGUUGCUAGUUCGUGCACCACCGUUUGAGCUGGAAAAUGUACCUUUACUUCCACUUCCUUUGGGUGCAAAUUUACUUCCACUUGCUGCACUCUUUGUGCUGAAAGAUACUCUUCUAGUGGACUUCAUAUCCUGCUACAAUUGUCGCUCAGCUUUGCUAGCUUGAUGCACCAUCAACAAGAUUAUGAUAUUGCUGAAAUUCAACAAUGCGUUGAAUAUUCCGAUGCAGCCCUGACAUAAAUUUUGCAAUUGUUUGCUCUUCAUCUUCAAUUACAUUGGCUCUAAUCAUCGCCUUCUCCAUCUCUUUAUAAUACUCAUCAACACUGAGGCUUCCUUGCUUCAGAUUCUGUAGCUUGUUGUCAAGGAUACCAGUAAGGGGUAUCCCAACUGAUGUACAUAACGAGAUCGUCCGUACGAAAGUCGAGAUCCCUGUACAAGCACUUAGGUGCAAGAUAAUACAAACACUCCCCCCCCGCUGGACGUAGGGCCUUCUCUUGCCCGAACUAGGAUAAAUCUUUGUGUUUUUUCUUGCAUCACCAUCUGGAAAGGGGAGCACGCACUAGUUUUACUCGUUGGUGUGACCCCGCGGGAGGAAACACCGACAGUUGGCGCGCCAGGUAGGGGUCCUGCGUGUUUAUCAUCGAUUUCCCACUCCUUUCCAGAUGGCCACUCUCGCUUCGCCGAUUCUGCGCUCCACGAUGAUUUGGUUUGGGAGUCUUGAGUUCAUGUCGACUGGCUCCGGCUAUGACAUGAUCUUACUCUCGAUCAAAGGACCAGGAGGAGCCUGCGUUGCGCCAGCACGGUUGAGGGCCCCGAGACGCCCUCGCCACCACGCCUCCCCGCCCAAGAAGAGGCAUGGAUAGCAUCAUCGUCGCCCCUCUGCCUCGUCACGACCAGCAGUUCGUGCUAGGCAAGAGGUGACACAGGAGUCGGCAGCCCCGCGUGCCGGAACUGUGGACAUGCCGGUUCAGCGUCACACGACGACAAGAGGUGACACACCCGCCACCAGGUUACUUCCACAUGGGUUGUUCACUCCAAGAAGGGCACUGCCAUUCGGAUUGGACAACGCCAUGGCGUCGCUCGCCAGAGCGAUAUGCCCAAAUGCCCAGACGUACGUAGAGAGACCAAUGGUUCUCCCGCGUAACUCUGAAGCACAGCAGCCGACGUCCGAGCUGCCGGAUUUCUCCCAGGUAUGAGGCCUCCGUCGCCUAGGCCCUGGACGAUACACGAUCACCUCGCUCAGGCAACGACUAUUGGAGGAGGGACAUGGAUGUUUCUACGCCGCCAAGCCGGACUCCGACUCCGAGACCGAUAGCUACGACCCUACUAGGGAAUUCUAUCACAUCGACGGGGCAGUAGAAACUACCGACAAGACGCAGGACGCAGCUGCGGGCGGUGGAGCCCCUGCAGCAAGGGAAGACCCCAGGACGCCUGGGAACGGCGGACAGGUCGACCCAAUUCCACAGGAAGACAGGGCUGCGCAGCUUGCGCAGCUACGAGAGCUCAAGACAAAGCUCGACGAAGACCGUGAGCGCCUCGUCCUGCUCGAGCAAAUCCUCGAACAAGACUUGCCUUACCCACCCGGCGGAAGUGUCCGUAGGCGAGCUCGAGAGGUACACCGGCAAAUCGUCGAAGACGCGGAGCCAGAGCAACCCGUCAGCUGCUUCCCUCGAGCAGGCCAGAACAUAGUGGUAGCAACGAUGCUGCUACGCAACAUGCCAGAGCCAUCGAACUCCCAAGCUCGACGCAUUCGAGACGAGGUGCAGACUCUGCUCCAGGUAGCGGCGGUUCAAUAAGCCGAAAGCUCGGCUUCUCGACGACGAGGAGCCGCCAUUGAAAAGCGCGAUGAGCCGCCCCAAAACGAAAAGGAGGUGUUAGUCCAUCAACAGUCACCCCCUCAAGGAAGAAAGACCACUCUCGUCCUCCCUGUCGACAAUCAGCGUCGACACGACGCGCGGCAUGACAUCGAAGAGAAUCGACGUCGUCGGUGUGGGGAUGCGGAAGAGCGCGGUUACAGCGCACAUCGCGGAGGGAGGUACGACACCGACGAGGACCGGAUGGCGCCCGAGCCACCAGGCCCACGGGUGUUCAGCAGGGCAAUCCGCAGCACGCCCCUGCCCAGUCCAUUCCGACCCCCGACCAGCAUCGCAAAAUACAAUGGUGAGACCAAACCAGAGUUGUGGAUGGCCGAUUUUAGGCUGGCCUGUCAGCUAGGAGGCGCUCGAGGAGAUGAUCGAGCCAUCAUCAGACAGCUACCGCUCUUCCUCUAUGACACCGCCCGUCGGUGGCUCGAGGAACUUCCAGCUAAUCAGAUCCACGACUGGGUCGAUUUGGUUAGAGUCUUCGAGGGUAAUUUCAAAGGAACCUACAUAUGGCCCGGAAACUCGUGGGACCUCAGCAAAUGCAAAUAGAAGUCAGGAGAAACUCUUCGAGAGUAUGCUCGACGCUUCUCAAAACAGCGCACCGAGCUGCCACAUAUCCCCGACCAUGACGUCAUCCUGGCAUUUGUCUCUGGUACCACCAGUCGAGACUUGGUGUGGGAAUUGGGUCGGAAUCGACCUCAGACCAUCGAUGAGCUCAUGGACGUAGUGGCCAACUACGCAGCAGGAGAGGAAGCAGUCGGUGCCUUCUUCAGUUGUGAAGCAAGGAAAGGCAAGCAGCCUGCCGAUGAAGACGGGACCCUCAGUCGAGGGCUCAAGAAGAACAAGAAGAAGCAGAAAGUGCGGCAGUUCAAGCAGGAGAACUUUGACGACGACCUCGUCGCCGCCAUGGAGCGAAAGAAGCCUCGAGGCCCCCAGAUGGAGGAAUCUUCGAUAAGAUGCUAGAGGAACCUUGCCCUUACCAUAAAGGAGGAGCCAACCACAAGCUCAAGGACUGUCGUAUGCUGAAAAAGCAUUUCGACAGCCUGGGGUUUAGAAAGAACGCACGCGAUGACCCAAAGAAGGAGAAGGGCGGCGACAAGGAGGGCAACAAGGACGACAAUGGUUUCCCUGCCGUCCACGACUGCUACAUGAUCUAUGGUGGGCCCUCGAUGCAGUUGACUGCGAGACAGCGCAAGAGGGAACGCCGCGAGGUCUUCGCGGCAAGAAUGGCGGUGCCCCAGUACCUCAGCUGGUCGAGCACACCCAUCACCUUCGACCGAGAGGACCACCCCGACAAGGUGGUUGCCCCAGGCGUCUACCCGCUCGUCGUCGACCCCAUCAUCGUCAACACCCGGCUCUCGAAGGUGCUAAUGGACGGAGGCAGCAGCCUCAACAUCAUCUACCUCGCGACCCUCGACCUCCUCGGCAUCGACAGGGGACGGCUUCAACCAAGCGCCGGUGGUUUCCACGGUGUUGUGCCGGGGAAAAAGGCGCUGCCAGUAGGUCGAAUCGACUUACAGGUCUGCUUUGGCACGGCGGCCAACAUCAGGAAGGAGACCCUCACCUUUGAGGUGGUCGGGUUCCGGGGCACGUACCACGCCAUCAUCGGGCGCCCGGGCUACGCCAAGUUCAUGGCUAUACCCAACUACACCUACUUGAAGCUAAAGAUGCCCGGUCCCAAAGGCGUCAUCACUGUUAGCUCCUCCUUCGAGCACGCUUACGAAUGCGACGUCGAGUGCGUCGAGUAUGGGGAGGCGGUCGAGAACUCCACCGAGCUCAUCACAAAACUCGAGGCCCUGGCCGCUGAGGCUCCAGAGCCCAAACGCUAUGCGGGUAGCUUCGAGCCGGCAGAGGGAACCAAGAAGAUCCUGCUCGACCCCAACAACUCCAACGGCAAGGUGCUGACGAUCAGCGCCGACCUCGACCCCAAAUAGGAAGCUGUGCUCGUCGACUUUCUCCGUGCGAACGCCGACAUGUUUGCAUGGAGUCCCUCUGACAUGCCAGGCAUACCGAGGGAAGUCACCGAGCACUCCUUGGAGAUUCGAGCCGGUUCCAAGCCAGUGAAGCAACGGUUGCGCCGAUUCGAUGAGGAGAAGAGCAAGAUCAUUGGCGAGGAGGUCCACAAGCUUUUGUCGGCCGGAUUCAACAAGGAGGUUCACCAUCCCAACUGGUUAGCAAACCUUGUACUAGUUAAGAAAAAGAAUGGGAAAAUGAGGAUGUGUGUCGAUUAUACGAGUUUAAAUAAAGCAUGUCCAAAAGUUCCCUUUCCGUUACCACGUAUUGAUCAAAUUGUUGAUUCUACUGCAGGAUGUGAAACCCUUUCUUUUCUUGAUGCAUAUUCUGGUUAUCAUCAAAUAAAAAUGAAAGAGUCCGACCAGCUCGCGACCUCUUUCAUCACGCCUUUUGGGAUGUAAUUCUAUGUAACCAUGCCGUUUGGGCUUCGAAAUGCGGGAGCCACAUACCAACGCUGCAUGCUCCACGUAUUUGGCAAGCACAUAGGGUCAACGGUCGAGGCCUAUGUCGAUGACAUAGUCGUCAAAUCAAAGCGGCAAGGAGACCUGAUCCAGGACCUCGAGAUCGCCUUCAGCUGCUUACGCGCCAACCGGAUUAAGCUCAAUCCCGAGAAAUGUGUUUUUGGCGUGCCUCGUGGCAUGCUCUUGGGUUACAUUGUUUCCCAGCGCGGCAUCGAGGCCAACCCCGAGAAAGUCUCGGCCAUUACAAGAAUGGGGCCGAUCCGAGACAUCAAGGGUGUGCAGAGAGUCACGGGAUGCCUAGCGGCGUUGAGCCGUUUCAUCUCGAGAUUAGGAGAAAAGGCGUUAUCGCUGUAUCGACUUCUGAAGAAAGUCGAGUGUUUUUCUUGGACCCCCAAGGCCGAGGAGGCCCUCAAAAAUCUGAAGAAAACACUAACCUCAGCACCAGUCCUAGUCCCACCUCAACCUGCGGAACCACUGCUCCUUUACGUUGCCUCGACGACCCAGGUUGUUAGUGCAGCGGUGGUGGUCGAAAGGCAAGAGGAGGGUCAUGCGCUGCCAGUCCAGAGGCCAGUCUAUUUCGUCAGCGAGGUGCUCUCGGAGACCAAGGCACGCUAUCCCCAAAUCCAGAAGCUGAUCUAUGUCGUAAUCCUCGCCCGCCGUAAGCUGCAGCACAACUUCCUCGGCCACCCUAUCACGGUAGUCUCGUCUUUUCCCCUGGGCGAGAUAAUCCAGAGUAAGGAGGCCACGGGAAGAAUGGCUAAAUGGUCGGUCGAGCUCAUGAGUGAGACUCUCACUUACACGCCUCGCAAGGCUAUCAAAUCGCAAGCCCUGGUGGACUUCGUCGUGGAAUGGACAGACUCCCAGCUUCCCCCGACUCCGGUCCAGUCGGAGCUGUGGACGAUGUAUUUCGACGGGUCACUCACGAAGAUGGGGGCCGGGGCCGGCCUGCUGUUCAUCUCGCCCUUGGGCAUCUAGAUGAGGUACGUCAUCAGGAUUCAUUUUGCCGCGUCCAACAAUGUCGCAGUGUAUGAGGCCCUCGUCAACGGUCUCAAAAUCGCCAUCUAGCUAGGAGUCCGACGACUCGACGUCCGAGGCGACUCCCAGCUCGUCAUCGACCAAGUGAUGAAGACUUCAAGCUGCCAUGACCCGAAAAUGGAGGCGUACUGCAAAGAAGUCCGUCGACUCGAGGACAAAUUCCAUGGCCUUGAGCUCGUCCAUGUCACCCGACGCUACAACGAGGCAGCCGACGAACUCGCCAAGAUCGCGUCGACCCGAGGCACGGUACCACCUGACGCGUUCUUGAGAGAUCUUCACGAGCCAUCCGUCGACUUAGGCUCAAGGGCUGGCGUCGAUGUCGCUCCUGCCCAGCCAACCGACACCGUCGACGCACUAUUGAUGGCAGCUGAGGUGAUGGAGGUAGAACAGCGGCCCGGUCGACCGUUCGACUGGCGCACGCCGUUCCUCGACUGCCUAAUCCGCUGCGAGCUGCCACAAGAUCGAUCUGAGGCCCGCCGUAUCGCUCGACGGGCCAAGUCAUAUGUGAUUUAUGGCGAAGGCAAUGAGCUAUAUCGACAAAGCCCGACGGGGGUCUUCCAGCGUUGCAUCACAGUGGAAGAAGGCCGGAAACUCCUCGAGGACCUACACUCGGGGGCUUGCGGCCACCAUGCUGCUCCACGGACCCUCAUAGGGAACGCCUUCCGACAAGGUUUCUACUAGCCAACGGCCGUAGCAGAUGCCAUCGAGCUCGUACGCUCAUGUCAUGGGUGCCAAUUCUAUGCCAAACAGACGCAUCUGCCCGCCCACGCUCUUCAGAUGAUCCCCAUCACAUGGCCAUUUGCGGUGUGGGGGCUCGACUUAGUAGGGCCCCUACAAAAGGCGAAAGGAGGGUACACCCACUUGCUGGUGGCCAUCGACAAAUUCUCCAAAUGGAUCGAGGCUCGACCCAUCACCAACAUCCGCUCCGAGCAGGCCGUCCUUUUCUUCACCGACAUCACCCACAGGUUUGGGAUUCCCAACGUCAUCAUCACCGACAACGGCACUCAGUUCACCGGCAAAAAGUUCUUGGACUUCUGCGAUCAGCAUCACAUCCGUGUGAACUGGUCUGUAGAAGCCCACCCUCGAACUAACGGCCAGGUCGAGCGUGCCAACGGCAUGAUUUUGCAAGGACUCAAGCCAAGGAUCUACAAUCGCUUGAAGAAAUUCGGCAAGAAGUGGGUCGAGGAGCUUUCCUCGGUCCUAUGGAGCAUAAGGACAACACCAAGCAGGGCCACAAAAUACACCCCAUUCUUCAUGGUCUAUGGCUCUAAGGCUGUCCCCCCCACAGACCUCGAGUAUGGGUCCCCUUGACUUAAAGCGUACAACGAGCAAUCAAAUAAGGAGACUCAAGAAAACACGGUCGACCAACUUGGGGAGGCUCGAGACAUGGCCCUCCUUAACUCUGCCAGAUAUCAGCAGAAACUUUGACAUUACCACGACAAGCACGUGUGCAAGAGGGACUUAAACGUGGGUGACCUUGUCCUAUGACGGCGGCAGAGCAAUCAAGGACGCCACAUGCUAACUCCACCUUGGGAGGGCCCAUACGUGGUGGCCGAGGUCUUGAAGCUAGGGACAUACAAGCUCGCGGACGAAAAGGGAGCGAUCUUCACCAACGCUUGGAACAUCGAACAGCUACGUCGAUUCUACCCCUAGAAUUUCAAAGCUUUGUGUUCCUACGUACGUUCUGUAUCGAGGCUUUGUAAAUGAAUGCAUGAAUAAAUAAAGUCUUUCCCUCGAGCGACUCCUUUUUGUACCGAGACUUUACAAGUCGAAAUCUCGACGUUAGAAGGGAGUACCGACUAUGACCCAUCAUAGUCGGCAACCCCUCGGGGGCUACCAGGGGGGCGCCCCCCCAAGUGUCGAAAAAGCCAAGAAAUUCUCUCUUCCUUACUUAGUAAACCUUGCACGUUUGAGUAGUUGAGGCGCCUCGAGCCCCUUGAGGGCCGAGGGACAAUGAGCCUGAGAACUCCUAUGCCCCCCGGCUAUGGAAAACUCUACUCACUUCCGCACCCUUGAGGUGACCGAGGCUGUUUUUGACAAAAGAUCGAACAAGGAAUAAAAACAUAGGCGCAAAGGGAAAUAAAAGAGCCUCGAGCGGAAAGACAGAUAAACAUUUAACAAAUACUUAAAAUCACUUAAAAAACAAGUUAAUAAGAGUACUAUACAAGGGGCCCCAGGCACCCAAAGCAGGCUCGCAGGCCUUAGUCUUCAGCACGAUCCUCACCACCGUCGCCUGCGCCCGAGCUAGUCUCAGGAGGAAGCACCUCAGGCUCAAAUAGCUUGGCCAGCCUCUCUCCAGGAACCUCCGCGUCGUCGAUCAAGGCGUGGAGCCUCUCUUCGUUCUCCACGUCGGUCUUAGAGAUGUCGGUGACAAAGCCGUGGGACACCACCUCCAUGUCGUAGGAGAAGCCCGAGCAGACAACCGCCAUCGCCCGCUUCACCCCGAUGUGGAGGGCAUCCCACACCCGAUCUCGCAGCGUCGCGCCUAAGUAGCACAGCUGGUCGACCAGUGCGUCGCCUCGAGCGUCCUCCUUCGACUCGUCCAUAGGCUCGAUCUCCCAAGAGGUCGAGAGGUCGCUUAUCGCCGUCCACACUUGACGGUUCAAAGCAACCUCCGCCUCGAGCUGGGCCUUAGCACUACGAGCCUCGACUUGGGCGGCUAAGAGUUCGUCCUUAAGCCCUAUAAAUGCCAAUACAAGAAAUUUUAGGAAAAACCAAGCAAACCUUGAAAAAGAAAUCCGAUAAUGGGAACGUACCGCGGACAGUCUCCUCCAGGGCUGUGUUCUCGCCGACUAAUCUGGUGUUGGCCCUCUCAAUCUCUUUGUUGGAGCAUGCCAGCUCAGUGUUGGCAACGCGGAGAUCCUCGAUCACCUUGCCAGCCUGAGCAAUGGCCCCACUCUUCUCCAACAGCUCUCCCUUCAGACGUUCGACGUCGUCAGAGAGCCUGCGGGAUCGAGCCCGCUCUACCUCGAGGUCUUCGAGGGCCUUCUUCUUUGCGUCCUCUGCAGCACCCCUGGCGACCUCGCAGUCCACAUACGCCACCUUCAUCUUUUGGAAGGAUUCUCGGAGGGAGUCCAGGUCGGUCUUGAGAAAGCCAUUCUCCUUGUCCAGAUCGGCAAUGACAUUCUUGUAGGACAGGGCCUCCUCCCGGGCUUUGGAUGCGGCCUCCUCGACCGUCAGAGCCCGCUCCCACAGCAGCGUCGUCUCCUCCUCCGCCUUCCUUGAGGCCUCUCGAGCCUCGACCAAGGCAGCCUCCCUCGCCUUUUUCUCCUCCUCGAGCGCUAUGAGGUCUUUAUAGGCCAUAAGGAGCUUUUCUUGCGACUCGAGGAGUUGGUCCUUGAGGACGGGGAGCAGCUCCCAGCCUCCUCUUGUGGCGUGAAUGAAGCUCGACUUGAUACGGGAGGUCUCUUUCAUGUCCUGCGAGCUGGGGGUCGAACGGUUAGAACACGAAACCAAAGGAUCUAUGAGAAUUAAAGACCGAAAAAUACUUACGAAGUAGGCCGGCCCAAGCCUGUUGUUGAUGACGUCCGACAGGAGCCCCACCACGUGCUUCAUCCAAAGGCGGAGCUCCUCGACGUGUUCCCAUUUCUCCGCCUCCUCGUCCAGGAAGAUGUUGGGCUCGGACGGAUCGGUGGAAGCCCGGAUGUGGAUCCGAUCGGGGCACCAGUUCUCCAUCUCCCGGUCAGCCCGCACCUUGACGCCACGGAUAAGGUCCUCGACGGUCUCGAGGGAGCCCCCAUGGCGCAAGAACAGGUCGACGAGGCAUGGUAACCGCCCGUCGUCUUCCACCGUCUUCCAGGUACCGUCCUUACUCCCCGACGUCCCGAUCUUGUCCUCCUCAGAGGGAAAACGGUCCUCCCACGUCCGACGCUCCCGGAGGAACCCUGAGGCGAUCCCGUCCAUGCCGUAGAUCGUCCUCUUGAUCUUGGACACGGGGUCGGCGGGGGUGCGCAUCAUGCAGGCAAGUGCCACCACACCGUCCGCUGGCCCCGGCUCUGCCCGGAUCGCGGCGGGCGCCCCCGGAAGGAGCCACGCUGGGGUUGGAGGGCCGUACACCGGCAAAUCCUCUUCCUGUUCUCCGGGCUCUUGCAGCGCCGGUGGUACUGGUUGGGGCAGACCUUGAGGCGGGGGCUCGAGCGGUCCUUCUUCUUAGCCCCCCUGAUGCUGCUGCUGCUGCCCCUCGAGCAUCUGCUGCUGUUGCUCCACCUGCUGCUGCUGCUGUUGUUGCUGCUGCUGGUGUUGUUGUUGCUCCUCGUGCUCCUGCGGCUCUCAUUGGCGGCCCUGCUCCUGCAGCUGCCGCCUUGCCUCGCGCUCCCACUCCUCCUCCUCUUCUUUCCUCUUCUGCUCCUCGAGGGCGCGAAGACCAGCAGGCCAGGGUGUCCGUCCCGCGUCGAGAGAAGUCGACGCCUCCUCAUCCAUAGGGCGUACAUCCCUCGACGUCUCGUUGCCGCCAGACGUGUCGCUAAUAGUAAUGGGAUCCCCCUCGACCCCGAUUGGGGAGGCUCGGGGGCUCCCUCUUGCCCCUGGGUCUGGGGGACCUCGGCCCGUGUCGGCGGCGACGGGGCAAGCUCGGGACGAGGCUGGGCGCUCUCAGCGUCGGCCAGAGGCUGAGAGUUGGAGGAGCCUAUAAAACAAAGAAUAAAGGUCGGUCACUGAAAUGACCAACGUAAGAACAUCACAAGUCCCAGAGGUAAGCCACAAACCUGGCUGCUUGGAGGCUGCUCCCGCUUUGAGCCUCUUCGCCAUUGAAGGCUGAGCCUGCUCGAGCGCCCGCUUUAAUCUGAAACAAAAGGAACAAGCGUAAAAAGACCAGUAUACGAGGAAACGCAGAGGAACAGGAGAACAAAAGUCACAACGUCGAAGAGCUUACCCCACGGGGAGAACAGCUCGCCUGCCGGUGCCCCGACCGGUGGGCCUCGAGCCACCCCGUGUCAAGGUCCCAGACCCCUCGAGGACUGGCGUUGGCCUUGGCCUAGCAACUUCCGCUUGGGGGGCACCGGGACUAGCGCUCCUGCGGCCAGUGUCUCCUUUCUCGGAGGCCGCGGCACGACCGCGAGUUAGUGGCCCUGUCGCCUGGGGCCUAGCAUGGCCACCCGUCUUGGGCGUGGGGGGAGGGCGCGGGGCGACCUGACCAGUCGCAGGCACCGGGGGGGUGUCGGCACGAGGGCGGUGAGAUCCGCCUGGUCCCUGUUUUGGUGUUUCCGUCCGCGGGGCAUCGACGUCGCCUCGAGGCGGACCCUCGAGGAUGCGGUCGAGGCGAGACACCAUCCCCUCGGAGUCAUCGCUGUCCUCGUCAUCAUCACCAUCAUCGUCGCUGGGGGACUCUUCCUCAGGCUCUCCCCUCUGCGUGGAGUUAGACCGAUGCGCCUCUAAUGCUUGGCGGUCGAGGUUUUUCUUUUUCUCCCCUUUCUUCUUAGAGUCCUUGGCGGACUUCAGCUUCUUGGCGGACCGGCCCCGCGCGUCACGGUCAACCUCGUCCUCCUUUACUGGAGGCCUCGAGGACCGGACAUCAAUCCGUCCCUGCCAGAACAAAGGUGGACUUAGAAAAAAGGGAAGAAAAGAAACCCAGAAUCGAAGCUACGCACGAAAAGAAAGCAUACCAGACCGAUCGAGCCCGCAUCUGGCCUCAUGGGGAUGCCGUUAACGUGCUCCGACUUGAAGUCACCAGCAAUGGCGGCCCUGACCCAGGCCACGACUUCGUCGUUCGCUGGAGCAUCGCUUGACAUCCGGCAUGCCUCGAGGUCCCGGGUUGAGGCGCCGGGAGCCAUCUCGUCCAUCCUCAGCGGUCGAGACAUUAACGGGAGAACUCUCCGGUGAUGGACGACCGGGAGGACGACGGCGGCCGUCAAGCCUUCCGAGCGCAGUUUCUUCAUGACGUCGAGGAGGGGGUCGAGCCGAGAUUGAUGAACCUGGACGACGCCGUACGUCCAAUUCUCCGGACACUCCGUGAUCAGACGCCCGGUGUAGGCGGGCAGGAUGUCGUCGUCGUUUCUUAAGUAAAACCACUGGGAAUCCCAGCCGGCGUGGUUGGUCGACAGUCCCACCGGGAUGUACUCGCGUGACCUCUCCAUCUUCCCGGUCUUCAACACGAGGUUGAGGCAACCCGCCCGAACAGGUUUCCUCACGCCGGUUGUCCCAGUGGGGGCGUUGAAGAGCUCGCCCCUAUAGAGGUGGAGCCACAGCUCCUAGUGGGGCAUCAUCCCCAAAUAGCCCUCACACACCGCGGCGAAGACCGCCGUGAUGGUGAUGGCGUUUGGGGAGAAGUGCAGAAGCUCCACCCCGUAGUGGUGGCAGAGCGCCGGCAUGAAGCGGCUCGGGGGAGCUCCCAGUCCAUGGCGGUGGAACUUGGCGAACGAAACCAGAUAGCCCUUGGGCGGCCCGGGCUCCCUGUGGUCCGCCGGCGGCGCGAUCCACUCCGGCGACGACAGCGAGGUGCGGCGGCGCAGGAGUCCCUCCCUCUCGAGCUCUUGCAGCCGGCGCUCCGUCAUAGACGACGGGCGCCAGUCGUCGGCGGCGAUAAGUCUCACAGGCAUCCUAGCCGGAAGGAUGGCGGAUCCGCUACUACUCGAGGGGGUGUGCGCGCGUGAGACGGCAAGAAAGCUCAGACGGCGAGAGGGCUAAGGCAAGAAAGAAGACGGGAGGCAGAAGAAAGAACGGCGGCGGCGCCACGGCGUAUUUAUAGGCAGCAGUCCGCCAACGGAUAGAUCCGAGAAAUGAGGUAACUCCCCCCAUAAAUGCGCCAUCUAACAGUCCUUUCCCCCCUUCACAGGUGGGGCGCUCCGAAUUCCACGCCGACGCAGUGUCGUAACGUCUCCACCUAAAAAGGUGUGCCCAACGGGCAAAAAGGCGAACCGCCACGACUCCUUCCUUACCUUGUAAGCCAAGGGAUGUGCCCACGAGAGUCUCGAGAAGUCGAUAGCUGGCCCACCGAAAGGGUUUGACAGCCAAUCUCGAGCACCAGAGUCAGGGAUCCCCAGCGAGCGGUCGAAGAUCGAGGCCCGCCUCGAAGACUCGCUGGCGAUGUUCAAGGUAGGGUCGAGACAGUCGAGAGGAAUCCCCCCGACGGGAGGCAUCGAGCCGCUGGACUCUAUCGAAUGAGACCAGUAUCCCCGACCACGUCGACCCUGCUUUAUGGGAACACCUCUGGGCUACAGCUGACACCCUCGAAAGGGGCACAGGUUCUCACUUGGACUACCCACUAGGAACUCAAUUUGGGGUGGAAGACGCUCGCUCUAUCGAGAGUACGUCGAAACCUCCGCGCGAAACGAGCCAAUCAGAACCUUCCACCACUGGUGUCGACAGCGUUUCUGCAAAUUAGGCAAUAUAACCCUCAUAGGAGUCAAAAACUCCUCCAAGGGCUCGGGGGCUACCCCCGCGGGGUCGCUCGCGCGUCCCCACAGAAACUCGACCAAGGAACACAGCCUCCACUCGAGCGCCAGCGCUCAAAUAGAGACUCGGGGGCUACUGUCGAGGGUAUCAGUAAGGGGUAUCCUAGCUGAUGCACAUAACGAGAUUAUCCGUGCACAAAUCGAGGCCCACAACUCGACGCUCUAGUCAGCCACACAUACAGUCAUCGACGACCGCAGCCUCGAAGACAGAAAAGGCGUCGAGUGAAUCGCUCAGGGGUCGAGCGUCGACUACCGUCGAAUGCGGGAAUGGGCACGAGUGAAUCGGGAAGCGUCAAGCGCAAGGACACUGUUCGCCGCCUGACGCACGCACGAGAGCUAGGGCAUUUAAUGCGCCUGACGUUUUCCCACCUAACACGCUGGUCACGGGAAGCGUGAUAGGGAACAGGCACCCGUCCCGUCGUUCUUUUUGCAGCCUUCCCCACCAAACGACCUAGGGAGUGUCAGGACGCGGGAAAUAGUGAUGGAACGUCUAAUCAGGAGCCCCUCGAGACAACCAAGGUUAGCGCUCCGGAUAUCAGGGCAUUGCACGGCGUCUGACCCUCGACCAGACAUGGUUCCUUCCUGGGGACGAGUUGGGCGUCGACUGACAACACCGCAACCACUCCGCCGGAUCUGCCGCCAUAUCGUACAGGCAUGCGACCGGUGAACCAACCCAAGACGGCGUGCAGAGUAGGACACAGGAGCACGCGUAAUCAUCAUCAAGCUACCGAGACGGGAUGGCUCGAGAUCACGCCGGUACGGAGGCCUCGAGUAGGUCAGCGCGCCAUGCUUCUAUCGACCCCUACUCUGACACCUAUGCAUGUACCCUAGGUCUCUCCUUGGUGCUAUAAAAGGAAGGACCCGGGAAUAGAUAGCGAUCACGCAACACUACAUCCAUACGCAGUAGAACUCCCAUACUCCAUACCACGCUUGUAUUCGCCCCUGUACAAGCACUUAGGUGCAAGAUAAUACAAACUUCCCUCCCUCGCUGGACGUUGGGCCUUCUUUUGCCCGAACCAGGAUAAAUCUCUGUGUCUUCUUGCAUCACCAUCUUGGAAAGGGAGCACGCAUACAAAUUUACUCGUUGGUGUGACCCCCCGUGGGGAAAACACCGACACCAAUCUUGAAUGGAACUUUCACUCUUUGUGCAAUCUUAAUAGAACCUGAAUUAUUAAGCUAUUGCACAUGAUAUGGAUGGGGAUGUUUCAGCAGCUUCAACCCAAGCUUUUCAACCAUUUCUUUGCUUGCAAGAUUGUGGCGACUGCCACCAUCAAUGAUGACUUUGACAACCAUAUCUUGCACAUUAGCUCUAGUCUGAAAAAGAUUGUGCCGCUGUCCAUUUUCAGCAUCGCUCAUUUGUACACUCAAAAUCUGAGUUACAACAAGAGCAGCGCCAGAUUCAAAUUCACAGAUGUCCUUCUCAAGAUUACUCUCACUUCCACUAUCUUCUUGUUCUUCCUCACUAGCAGAUUCAUACUCCCCUUGAUCAUUCACAAUGAUGGUUCUAGUGUUUGGACACUCUCUUGCAACAUGACCACGACCACCACACUUGAAGCACUGAAUUCCACUACUCUUGCUAGAAGAACCCAUUGAGUUUGCUGAUUUGAAUUUCUCAUUUUGAUCAGCCAACUCUUUGCUACUAGAAGAACCAAGGUUGCUAGUUCGUGCACCACCAUUUGAGCUGGAAAAUGUACCUUUACUUCCACUUCCUUUGGGUGCAAAUUUACUUCCACUUGCUGCACUCUUUGUGCUGAAAGAUACUCUUCUAGUGGACUUCAUAUCCUGCUGCAAUUGCUGCUUAGCUUUGCUAGCUUGAUGCACCAUCAACAAGAUUAUGAUAUUGCUGAAAUUCAACAAUGCGCUGAAUAUUCCGAUGCAGCCCUGACAUAAAUUUUGCAAUUGUUUGCUCUUCAUCUUCAAUUACAUUGGCUCUAACCAUCGCCUUCUCCAUCUCUUUAUAAUACUCAUCAACACUGAGGCUUCCUUGCUUCAGAUUCUGUAGCUUGUUGUCAAGGAUACCAGUAAGGGGUAUCCCAACUGAUGUACAUAACGAGAUCGUCCGUACGAAAGUCGAGAUCCCCAACUCGACGCUCUUCGCAAUCACGAGUAUAAUCAUCGACGACCUCAGCCUCGAAGACGGAAAGGGCGUCGAGCGAAUCAAGCAGGGCUCGAGCGCCAACUACCGUCGAAUACGGAAACGAGCUCGAGCGAAUCGGCGGGCAUCGAGCGCAAGGGCGCCGCCCGCCGCCUGACACGCGCACGGGAGCCAGAGCAUUUAAUGCGCCUGUCACAUUCCCACCUAACACGCCAGUCACGGGAAGCGUGAUAGGGAACAGGCAUCCAUCUCGUCAUUCUUUUUGCAGCCUUCCCCACCAAACGACCCAGAGCGUGUUAGGACACAGGAAGCAGGGAUGGAACGUCUAGUCAGGACACCCUCGAGACACCAAAAGUCAAUAUUCUGGAUAGCAAGGCGCUACAGGGCGUCCGACCCUCGACUGGACAUGUUUCCUUUCUGGAGAAGGGUUGGGCGUCGACUGAUGGCACUGCCACCACUCUGAUGUAACAGCCGCCGUGACGUACAGGCGUGCAACGGACAAACCGGUCCAAGACGGCGUACAGAGCGGGAUAUAAGGGCACGCGCAAUCAUCAUCAAGCUACCGGAACGGGACGGCUCGAGACCACGCCGGUACGGAAGCCUCGAGUAGGUCAGCGCGCCAUGCCUCUAUUGACCCCUAGUCUGUCACCUAUAUAUGUACCCUAGGUCUCUCCUUGGAAUUAUAAAAGGGGGGCCCGGGAGUGAUCACAAAAAAAACACCACACUCAUACGCAGUAGAAUUCCCAAACUCCAUACAACGGUUGUAUUCACCCCUAUACAAGCACUUAGGUGCAAAAUAAUACAAACUCUCCCCCCCCGCUGGACGUAGGGCCUUCUCUUGCCCGAACCAGGAUAAAUCCUUGUGUCUUUUUGCUUCACCAUCUGGGAAAGGGAAGCACGCAAACAAAUUCACUCGUUGGUGUGACCCCCCGUAGUGAAAACACUGACAGUUGGCGCGCCAGGUAGGGGUCCUGCGUGUUUUCUCAUCGAUUUCCCAUUCCAUUCCCAGAUGGCCACUCCUUCACCGAUUCCGCGCUCCACGGUAAUUUGGUUUGGGAGUCUCGAGUUCGUGUCUACUGGCUCCGGCUAUGACAUGAUCUUGCUCUCAGUCAAAGGACCGGGAGGAGCCCGCGUUGCACCAGCACGAACGAGGGCCCCGAGACGCCCUCGCCACCAUGCCUCCCCGCCCAAGAAGAGGCGUGAACGGCACCACCAUCGCCCUUCCACCACGCCACGACCAGCAGUCCGUGCCAGGCAGGAAACGGCAGGAGAGCCAAUAGCCCCGUGCACCGUGGGCACGACGGCUCAAUGCCGCGAGGACCGCACGACGACAGGAGAAGAUGCACCCCGCGCACUCUCCCCCACCGCCCGGCUACUUCCACACGGGCUGUUCGCCGCAAGAGGAGCCUUGCCGUUCGGCCUGGAGAAUGCCGCAGCGUCGCUCGCCAGGGCAAUGUGCCCAAACGCCCAGACGUACGUGGAGCGACCAACGGUCCUCCCACGCAACCCUGAAGCACGACCAUGGGAAUCUGAGCAACCAGACUUCUCGUAGGUACGAGGCCUCCGCCGCCUGGGCCCAGGACGGUACACGAUCACCUCCCUCAGGCAGAGGCUGCUGGAGGAAGGGUGCGGAUGUUUCUACGCCGCCGAGCUGGACUCUGGCUCGGAAUCUGACAGUUACGACCCUACUAGGGAGUGUUUCCACGUCGACAGAGCGGUGGAAACCACCGACGAGACACAAGACGGCAUUGCGGACGGGCGAGCCCCUGUAGCAAGAGAAGACCCCAGGACACCUAGGAAUGAUGGUCAGAUCGACCCACCUCUGCAAGAAGACAGAGCCGCGCAAAUUGCGCAACUACGAGAGCUCAAGUCAAAGCUUGACGAGUACCGUGAGCGCCUUGUCCUGCUUGAGCAGAUCCUCGAGCAGGACCUGCCUUACCCGCCCGGCGGAAGUGUCCACAGACGAGCUCGAGAGGUGCACCGACAAAUCGUCGGAGACGCAGAGCCAGAGCAACCUGUCAGCCGUUUCCCUCGAGCAGGACAGAACGUUUGGCGGCAACAAUGCUAUUACGCUUACGCACGAUGCCCGAGCCCUCGAACUCCCAGGCGCAGCGCAUCCGAGAUGAGGUACAAACCUUGCUCUAGGUGGCAGCGGUUCAACAAGCAAAAAGCUCGGCCUCUCGAAGUCGAGGAGUGGCCACUGAAAAGCGCGAUGAGCCAGCCCAAAACGAAAGGGAGGUGUCAGUUCAUCAGCAGCCACCCCCUGAGGAAGAAAGACCACGCUCGUUCUCCCCAUCGACAAUCAGCGUCGACACGAUGCGCGACGCGACAUUGAAGAGAAUCGACGCCGUCGGUACGGGGACGCGGAGGAGCGGGGUUACAGCGCCCAUUGCGGCGGGAGGUACGACAGCGAUGAGGACCGGAUGGCCCCGGAGCCACCAGGCCCACGGGUAUUCAGCAGGGCAAUCCGCAGCACGCCGCUGCCCAGCCCGUUCCGACCCCUGACCAGCAUCGUGAAGUACAACGGAGAGACCAACCCAGAGCUAUGGCUAGCAGACUUCAGGCUAGCUUGUCAGCUGGGAGGAGCUCGAGGAGGCGAUCGAGCCAUCAUCAGACAGCUGCCGCUCUUCCUCUCAGACACCGCCCGCAGAUGGCUCGAAGAGCUUCCAGCCGAUCAGAUCCACGACUGGGUCGAUCUGGUUAGAGUUUUCGAGGGUAAUUUCAAAGGGACCUACAUAUGACCUGGGAACUCAUGGGACCUCAACAAGUGCAAGCAGAAGUCAGGAGAAACUCUUCAAGAGUACGCUCGACGCUUCUCGAAGCAACGCACCGAGCUACCGCACAUCCCCGACCACGACGUCAUCCUAGCCUUUGUCUCUGGUACCACCAGUCGAGACUUGGUGCGGGAAUUAGGCCGGAAUCGCCCUCAGACCUUCGACGAGCUGAUGGAUGUGGUGGCCAACUACGCGGUGGGAGAAGAAGCGGUCGGCGCUUUCUUCAGCUAUGAAGGAAGGAAAAGCAAGCAGCCCGCCGACGACGACGAAGGUCACAGUCGAGGGCCCAAGAAGAGCAAAAAGAAGAAGAAGAUCCGGCCAUUCCAACGGGAAGACCUCGACGACGAUCUCUUCGCCGCCAUGGAAUGCAAAAAGCCUCGAGGCCCCCCAGAUGGGGGCAUCUUCGAUAAGAUGCUAGAAGAGCCGUGCCCUUACCAUAAGGGAGGAGCCAACCACAAGCUCAAAGAUUGUCGUAUGCUGAAAAAAGCAUUUCGACGGUCUAGGGUUCAAGAAGGACGUACGCGAUGACCCAAAGAAGGAGAAGGGCGGAGAUAAAGAGGACAACAAGGUCAAUGACGGUUUCCCUGCCGUCCAUGACUGCUACAUGAUCUACGGUGGACCCUCGACGCAGUUGACCACAAGACAGCGCAAGAGGGAACAUCGUGAGGUCUUCGCGGCAAGAAUGGCGGUGCCCCAGUACCUCAGCUGGUCGAGCACCCCGAUCACCUUCGAUCGAGAGGACCACCCAGACAAGGUAGUUGCCCCAGGCAUCUACCCGCUCGUCGUCGACCCCAUCAUCGUCAACACUCGGCUUUCGAAGGUGCUGAUGGACGGCGGCAGCAGCCUCAACAUCAUCUACCUCGAGACCCUCGACCUCCUCGACAUCGACAGGGGGCGGCUCCAACCAAGCGCCGGCGGUUUCCACGGCGUCGUGCCAGGGAAGAAGGCGCUGACGGUGGGUCGAAUCGACUUACCGGUCUGCUUUGGCACGGUGGCCAACUUCAGAAAGGAGACCCUCACCUUUGAGGUGGUUGGAUUCCGAGGCACGUACCACGCCAUCAUCGGGCGCCCGGGCUACGCCAAAUUUAUGGCUAUACCCAACUACACCUACUUGAAGCCGAAGAUGCCUGGACCCAAGGGCGUCAUCACCGUCAGCUCCUCCUUCGAGCGUGCAUACGAGUGCGACAUCGAGUGCGUUGAGUAUGGGGAGGCGGUCGAGAGUUCUACCGAGCUCGUCUCGAAGCUCGAGGCCCUAGCCGCUGAGGCUGCAGAGCCCAAGCGCCACGCGGGCAGCUUCGAGCCGGCGAAAGGAACCAAGAAGAUCCCGCUCGACCCCAACAACUUCGACGGCAAGGUGCUGACGAUCAGCGCCGACCUCGAUCCCAAAUAGGAAGCCGUGCUCGUCAACUUUCUCCGUGCGAACGCCGACAUGUUCGCAUGGUGUCCUUCGGACAUGCCUGGCAUACCGAGGGAAGUCGCCGAGCACUCCUUGGAAAUUCGAGCCGGUUCCAAGCUAGUGAAGCAGCGGUUGCGCCGAUUCGACGAAGAGAAGGGCAAGAUCAUUGGCGAGGAGAUCCAAAAGCUUUUGACGGCCGGAUUCAUCAAGGAGGUUCACCAUCCCGACUGGUUAGCAAACCCUGUACUAGUUAAGAAAAAGAAUGGGAAAAUGAGGAUGUGUGUCGAUUAUACAAGUUUAAAUAAAGCAUGUCCAAUAGUUCCUUUUCCAUUGCCUCGUAUCGAUCAAAUCGUUGAUUCUACUGCGGGAUGUGAAACUCUCUCUUUCCUUGAUGCAUAUUCCGGUUACCAUCAAAUAAAAAUGAAAGAGUCCGACCAGCUCGCGACGUCUUUUAUCACACCUUUUGGGAUGUAUUGCUAUGUAACCAUGCCGUUCGGGCUUCGAAACACGGGAGCCACGUAUCAACGCUGCAUGCUCCACGUGUGUGGCAAGCACAUAGGGUCGACAGUUGAGGCCUAUGUCGACGACAUCAUCGUCAAGUCAAAGUGGCGGGGAGACCUGAUCCAGGACCUCGAGAUCGCUUUCAGCUGCUUACGUGCCAACCAGAUCAAGCUCAACCCCGAGAAGUGUGUUUCCGACGUACCUCGAGGCAUGCUCCUUGGAUACAUCGUUUCCCAGCGCGGCAUUGAGGCCAACCCCGAGAAGGUCUCGGCCAUCAUAAGAAUGGGGCCGAUUCGAGACAUCAAGGGUGUGCAGAGAGUCACGGGAUGCUUAGCGGCACUGAGUCGCUUCAUCUCGAGGUUAGGAGAAAAGGCGUUGCCAUUGUAUCGGCUCCUGAAGAAAGUCGAGCGUUUCUCUUGGACCCCCGAGGCCGAGGAAGCCCUCGAAAACCUGAAGAAAACACUAACUUCAGCACCGAUCCUGGUCCCACCUCAACCUGCAGAACCACUACUCCUUUACGUCGCCUCGACGACCCAGGUCAUCAGUGUAGCUAUGGUUGUCAAGAGGCCGGAGGAGGGGCAUGCGUUGCCAGUCCAGAGGCCGGUCUACUUCGUCAGCGAGGUGCUCUCGAAGACCAAGGCGCGUUACCCCCAAAUCUAGAAGCUGAUCUACGCCGUAAUCCUCGCCCGACGCAAGCUGCAGCACUACUUCCUCGGCCACCCUAUCACGGUGGUCUCGUCCUUCCCCCUGGGCGAGAUAAUCCAAAGUAGGGAGGCCACGGGAAGAAUAGCCAAAUGGUCGGUCGAGCUCCUGAGUGAGACUCUCACUUAUGCGCCUCGCAAGGCUAUUAAGUCACAAGCCCUGGUGGAUUUCAUCGUGGAGUGGACAGACUCCCAGCUUCCCCCGACUCAGGUUCAGUCGGAGCUAUGGACGAUGUAUUUCGACGGGUCUCUCAUGAAGACGGAGCUGGGGCCAGCCUGCUGUUCAUCUCGCCCCAGGGCGUUCAUAUGAGGUACGUCAUCAGGACACAUUUUGCCGCGUCCAACAAUGUUGUAGAAUACGAAGCUCUUGUUAACGGUCGGAAGAUCGCCAUCGAUCUUGGAGUUCGACGCCUCGACGUUUGAGGCGACUCCCAGCUCGUCAUCGACCAAGUAAUGAAAGCCUCGAACUGCCACGACCCGAAAAUGGAGGCGUACUGCAACGAGGUCCGUCGACUCGAGGACAGGUUCCACGGCCUCGAGCUUGUCCACAUCGCCCGAUGCUACAACGAGGCAGCCGACGAACUCGCCAUGAUCGCGUCAACUCGAGGCACGAUCCCACCCGACGCGUUCUCAAGAGAUCUGCAUGAGCCAUCAGUCGACUUGGGCUCGGGGGCUGGUGUCGAAGCCGCUCCAGCCUAGCAGGCCGACAACGUCGAAGCGCUACUAAUGGUGGCUGAAGUAAUGGAGGUGGAACAGUGGCCCGGUCGACCGUUUGACUGGCGCACGCCGUUCCUCGACUGCCUAAUCCGCUGCGAGUUGCCAGAAGAUCGAUCCGAGGCCCGCUAUAUCGCUCGACGAGCCAAGACAUAUGUAAUCUAUGGUGAGGACAAUGAGCUAUAUCGACAAAGCCCGACGGGGGUCUUGCAACGUUGCAUCACCGUGGAAGAAUGCCGGAAACUCCUCGAGGGCCUACACUCGGGGGCUUGUGGCCACCAUGCUGCUCCAUGGACCCUCGUAGGGAACGCCUUGUAACAGAACCGACCAAAUUAUAAGAGAUUAAGCCUAACAGUGACCAUUUGCAUAGUCAAACCAUCACGCUUAAGCCCAUAUAAUCCUGGUAGUUCGUGAAAUCUCGAAGGAUUUCAAACCACAUAUCGCACAGCAGCCAAGAUCGUAAUAAGUUUAGCGGUCGCCAUUCACAAAUACAUCCCGAUUACAACAUUCAUAAAAUACAUCGGAGUUCUUAAAGUUAUUACAAACCAAGUUCUUCAAGUAGCGGAAGCUUCAUAGUUCGAAAAUACAACACACACGCUUAGUCUGAUACAGUGCCAUAGUUCGGUCAUUCCCACAAAAGCAAAAGAAGAGACAGAGUGACCAUCGCCCUUGGUCUAGUCAUCACCCAUAGCUGGGUACAGACAGAGGAUGCAAUAACCAUAGUACAUUUGACCAUCUGCAAAACAACAUGGGAGUAGAACCCUGAGUACGAGAAGGUACUCAGCUAGACUUACCCGUCAUAAACUUAAAAUAAAGACUCAUCAAGGAUCAUGAAGGCUAUAUAGUGGGGUAGCUGACAACCAUUUUGCAAAACCGCAGGAUUUCACUAUCAUAACCUACAUAAGUCUUUAUUCUUUUAAUUUGCUCAAGUUGGAAGUAUCAUUACCUAUCAUCUAGGUUUGCACCUGCACUAUUACAAGCAAGUAUAAGGCUACGAUAUAGUACCUCAUCAUAGCAUUUCUUAAACCAUUCAUCAUUAUAACCCAAGUGUUCCAUAGUCCUUACUAUACGAGGACAGGGCUCAUGUCAAGUGCUCACUAUCCAGGAGCGAUGGCGAUUCGAAUCGAUUUCUAACCAGCUGGCGAGUUUAUUCCCCACACAAACCACACUCAGUGAUCAAGUGAGCUACAGAUCACCGUAUUGCACUAUCCAGGACCAAUUCGCGGGUUCGACAGGCACCGCCCGUACCCGAGGACCGUUCCGGCGACCGAGGUAUCCAAGGUAUACCAAGGUUGCACGCCGCGCCCUCGUCGUUCUCCUCAACCAUCACCAAUACAGCGCGUACAUCGGGCCGAUUCCCGGCCCGGAUAGUGCUCAGGCUUCGCGGUCGGAAUGACUUAUCCUUCCAGCUAAAUGUGGGGCAUGCGUUCAACAUGACAAGAGGGCCGUCAACGAUUGGUCCUUAAUCGACACAGGCAGGAGCACUAUGGUCCACCCACCAUAAGACCCUGCCCGGCCUCCAAUUUCAUUCCGCACUUGGUUAUUCUUUUCCCAAAGCAAUCACGGCUUAAACAAGUAGGUAUUCACCUAUAUCUCGCAGGUGACUUCUACCGGGCUAAGCAAACUAAGCAUAGACUCCGCGCCUAUCUACAUAGGACAAGGUAGAUAAACAAGUAGGGAUAACAAGGAGUACAUAUGCAGCAACGGUAUCACACAACUCCUAUCACUUAAAUGCAAUAUAGUAGAACAAGCAUAGUAUAUCAUGUAAGUUAGCGAGAAUAGGGAGACUUAGAAUGCUCCGGGGCUUGCCUUUCUCAAACGUGCUGGGUCGGUGAUCCGGACACUCCUGCAGUUCCUCUCCGGAUUCCUGUGCUUCCGGAGGUUCCUGCUCCUGGAUCUCCUCUGGUUCCUCGGGUCCCACCUCGUUCUCCUGCGAGCCUGUAUGAUGCAUGUGUGCUCAUGAGUGGAGUGCGAGAUGCCCGAGUGGAUGCUUGUAUGAUAAGGUACCAAGGAGUCAUGACAUGAUGCGUAGGUGAUUUAAUUGGUCAUGCUCUUUACAAGGUAGUCAACAUCAUCCAAGAGUAAGCAAUUGGAUUAAACAUCUAGUGCAUUUUCCUCUACAAAUAUUUUUCAAAUACAACCAGCAACCCACAUGAUGCUUCAAAGAUACACCAAACCCAACUUAUUCUAUUCAACCUAUAUACACAACAAUUCAUAAUUUUCUUUAUUCAAUUUUAGGCCCAUUAAAAAUCACAUGCAAUUCUGUUCAUCAAUAAAUUCCACAAAAAUUACAGGAGACUACCAGUCAAUCAUAGAAUCUACUGUAAAUUUUUCAUAAUUUUUGGAUACUUAUUGUGAGCUACAAAAAUCACAAGGUUAAUUAAUAAGGUAAUUAUAAUCACUCUUCUGUGAUAUAAGUGUUAAACAACAGAUUUCAUAUUUUUAUAAUUUGUCUAAUAUUAUAAGAAACACCCACAAAAUUGUCCAGAUUUAUUGCAUGAUCCAAUUAAUUAUUAAAAAUCAUAAACCACUGCCAUGCAAGCAAUUAAAUUACCAUAAAUUCACUUAUACACCAAAUAAUGUUUAGCAAUGUUUUCCCAGUGAGUAAACAUACAUGCAGAGCCAACAAAUCAAGUUUUACAUUUUUCUGAACCAUAUUUUAUUUACUAUGCAUUUUCCAAGUUUAGCAAAAACAUGGAUUAAAUAUAUUCAUACAGAAAAGUUACUCAAACAUGACAUGCAAUCACAUCAAGCUGUAGAUCUGGAAAUAUAGAGCACACCAAAAUUUAUUUCAUCAAAUUUGGAGCUGUAGAACUCAAGAUAUGAAUUUUACAAGUUUUGAAUCAAUUUCUGGAAAACAUUUAUUCAAUAAAACCGACGAAAAAGGCUAAGUACACCUAGAUCUACACGCACCGGGGUCCCCCUGCGACUGACAGUGGGCCACUGACCCCACCAGUCAGCGAGACCGAGGGGGAGCUCACCUCCGACGAGCGGAUCUCGCCGGCGGUGAGGUCUCCAGCCACGGGGUAAGCACCAACGUGCUCCCCGCAGCGAGGCGCACCCAGCGGUACCCUCGGAUUGGCCGGAGGAUGACCGCAACACCUCCGACGAGCAUGCAUAGUGUUGGGUAUUCUUAACAUCAUUACCAAAAGUAGACUAAGUUCUCUAAAUCUAGUAACGGUGCCAAAAAUGCCAAACCUAUCCCUCACACCACUUAAGCCAAGUUGUCAUCCUCAGCAUGACAUGAGAGACGCGGUAUUGAAAUACGCAAUUCCUCUUCUAAAUAAAUAAUGUAUGGGAUCUGCAAGCGCACAGAUUAAUACCGAUGCAGCAUUUUAACCGGGAUGUAUUCCAAGUAUCGUUAUUUAUAUUUUUACCACUGGGAAGGGAUUAGCAAUCAUCAAUAUUGAUUACAGAAUAGAAUAUGAGAUUGAGCAUCUAUCAUUGCAUGUAUAAUUGAGAACAUUUAUCUAACUCUUCACACAGAGAUAAGUGUCACAUAAAAGAUAUAUGAAAUAAUAAUAGUGACAAGGAUAACUAAUCUGAUCUAGCCACAUAAUAAAUAUGAUAAGCACCUCGAUUAGAUACUCUAGAAAGUCAUUAGCAUGGUAUUAGAACGAACUACAAGAAUAUUCCCUAAGUUAUUCUUAACUAUAUAGUCUAGCAUUAUCAUAAUUAGUGCAAGCAUACUUAGCAAUCAUUGCGAGACAAGACUACGCCCAUGCAUAGUGAUAUUAGCAAGGAAUAUGAGAAACAUAGCAAUCACUCCCCUGUAAUAAUGUUGCUCUGCCAGCCCAAUACACGAGAGGGGGACUAUAUAAGAAUCAAUGAAGCUGUCACUAUCACGAACCACCCCAUGAUCUGGCAUAUUGGGUACAAUCGCAGAUAAAUACGGUAUAAGCACCACGCCUACACAAUAUCUAUCAUUUACCCAUGGAUCCGAUGGAUAAACGCUAUACGAUCCUAAGCAUGUAUAUAGAUCGAAUCUAACUAAGCCAAGUACAUAACUAUGAUAAACUAAGAACAAUAUAAUCUUGAAUAUAAGCAAGUAGAGCAAAGUCAUAAGCAAUAUAUUGAAGUAGAACAAAGUCAUAUUCAUAAUAUUGAAGAACAAAGAUAAUUAGAAAGCAAUUAGAAGCACAAUUAGAGAAUUACCAAGAAUCCUCCUGACACAUCCGGAAACCAAUCGAAGAUUGACUCCUUCUAGUUCUAAUCCUAUGUAGCUAUGCUAAUCUAGAUGUCUAAUUGAUGUGGUGGCUCUAAUCUUGAUCAGAGGCUUCUUCUCCCUUGAUGGAACAAUGAAUUAGGGUUGAGAGGCUCUCUCCUCCAGGGGCCAGGGGGUCUGGUUUUAUAGUCCCUUCAAGUGAAUAUGGGCCCUUGGAUCAAACCGACAUAGAUUGUAUGGUUUAGAUUCAUCCUUUAGGUCGGUGGAGAUCUCCCGCAAAGCAGAGUCCUGAUUGGACUCCUGGAGUGGGCGGGCGCCCAGUAGGACAGGGCGGGCGCCCUGUCUCUGGCCCCGUUUCGCCUCCGCUUCGGUCUCGUGGCUUCUGGAGUCUUCUAGAUGUAAGAUAAUUGCACAGCACGUUAAUAUCUUUACGUAAUCCCGACAUGUGGGCCUUUCUUCCAUAUUUCCUGAUAACCCCCUGUAGAAAUAGACAAACACCAAAACUCGUGGAAUUCUGUCAGAUAAAACCCUAAGUGUAGAUCUUGAUUUCAUUUGGAUCCUUUUCUUUAUUUAUUUGAUAAUUAAAUUUGAUACUUAAGGACCGUCAACAAACUCCCCCAAGCUUACCUCUUGCUCGUCCCUGAGCAAAGAUAGACUCAGCUAUGGAUCAUAAGUUGUUGCAAUAUCUUUCAAAAUUGACGGUACACAUGCUUUUAAAUAAGAUCUCAUCUCUGAGUUAGAGUAAACUGUCAAGACUUAAAACUUACUUACUUUACCUUCACCAUGGGACUUGUAACUGUCACUUCUGUCUUGAGUGGUUAAAAGAUAGAACAGUCUAGCCAAGUGCCAUGUCUCUUAUUCUUGAUCAGCUAUAGCUCUGGGGUUUUUGCAGAUUUUCAAAUAAAACUCAGAGAUUCCUUGUAUGAUUCUCUCAGGUCUCUCUUUUGUGGUAUUUUUGGAUCCUUACCAAGGCAGUGAUGGUAUAUGCCUUCUCUCAAAAUAUGUAGUAUUUGUGGUUUGAGGCAUAGUGACAUUGCCUUCUCUCUCACCCUACUCUAAUAAGGCUUUAAUAUCUGGAGCUCAUAGGUGGGAGAUAAAGUAUACAUACUUAUAAGACAUUUAUUGCAUAGUCAAACCAUGGAUCCAAAGUAACAAGUCAAUAAGUCAAAUCAAGAUGUGCAUGUGUGGCGAAUGAAUGGUGUAUGGUGAUGAUGGUGAUAACAAUGGUGAAAACAAUGGUGGUGGAAGUCUAAUUCUACUUUGCUCUUUGAGGGGAUACAUACCUUCCUAGCUUUUUGAAACUUUAUGAGGAGAAUGAGAUGCUCUAUAUUUUUCUUUUCUCUCAGGUGGGUAUCUUGCACCCCUAAUUCUAUUGUCGGACACUUGUCCAUUUUUACCUCUCGUCUCACUUUUUCUUUUCUUUCGAGGUUCCGAGCACUUGCUCCUUUUUAUUUUCUCGUAUCUUUUUUUUAGAGCAUUGAUCUCUUGAGAUAAUAUAGCAAGUGGUAGUAACAAGAUAACUUGAGCAUUUAUUUCACAAGGGGAAAACAGAAAUAUUUUUGGUUACUCUCUCCCGGAUUAGGAGUAGAAUAUUUUUGGUUGGUUCUAGAGAUGGAAUGGGUGGAUAUAUGUGGAUGGUACUUCCGGAGUAGAAGUAGCAUAUAUGAGUGAACGUGCAAGUGAAAUCUUGAUUUAACUACAUGACAAGCUCCUAAGGGUCUACACAGCUUGACCACACUCAAUGCUCAUAAGCAGUAAAUAGUAAAUGUGUGGCUCAAAGUCUAGCAAGCAUGUAUAUAUGGCUGUGGUAGGAAUUUAAACUCUCAUCAUACAGGAACUCAUCAUGCAACAUUUUAAAUAUUUUCAAAGAUAAAAUUCUCCAGAAUUCUAGCAUCUCUAGGAACAGAUAAACAGCUGCUCAACCUUCCCAUAUCGUAUCUGUUAACAACUUAGACUUCAGAUCAAGUUUUCAUCCCACAAGUUUAGGUCUAGAGCAAGCUUUAAAUUAUAACAAUUAUAUCUAAACUUGAGAGAGAACUUAAAAUUUGCAAAUUAGGCAGAGCAACUAUUUAUCAUAUCCGUGCUUAAGUUUUAUUUAGAUACAGAUUAGCAUAGCCACUUUAUUUAUCUAUUAAACACACUAAGCAAAAGAUAUAUAUAUAAGCAUAAAAUCUUUAUUUGGUUUUCCAUAGUUUAAUAAUAUAAGUAUAAAGAUAGAUAGAAAUACUUAUUGAGAUAAAUGGGGGUGCUCUCCCCCAAGCUGAAUUUUGACGUAAUUUCUCUUGAUGUAGCUAGCAGGUGGCAGAGGUGUAUUUGCAAGUCAGUAGCAUUCUGACAGCGAUUAGAAUAUCCUCCGUCUGCUAAUCUUCUUGAUUCUUAAAUUCUGUGGAGCUCAAAUAGACAACAAAGCUUGUGGAACUGAUUAAGUGUUAGCAUAAAUAUCUAGCCUUUAUUAUCUUGAGACUCCUUAAUAAUUAUUACUCCUUGUUUUUAUAUUUUUAUUUUAUAAAGUAGAAAAAUAUUUAUUCUAUUUUUAUGCCACCACAGUGAAUGUACUUAUGGGUUUUAUGCCACUCGUCUACUCACAUGGGGCUUACUGUUUUUCACAUUUUUAUUUUCUGUUUUUUAGGAUAAUACGAACAUGAUUAACUAAGUAAACUAUUUGAAAUAAUUGAAAUGAUUAAAAGGGAAAGGAUAACUUCCAAGUUUACCUCUUGGCAAGGCGUUCGGUGUUUCUAAGUCCUCCGAACGGGACUCUCCAAUUUCUUAAUCGUCCUGAGGUUCGUUGGGUGGCGUAGUCGGUACUUCCGGCAGCGCCUCCUCUUCAUGUAUAGUUAUCUUCAUUUUCAACACCUGACUCGGUGCUUUAGUCUCCUCUGGAUAAUUCUAUUUAAACUCUAUGUCUUCUGACCUUACAACUUCUCCUUCAUAGUCUGCCCAUCCAUCCUUGAUGAUCUGCCUCCUCCGGUUGCGGUUGCGUCGUUUCCUUACCUGCUUAGAUUCUUCAACAAUAUAGUUAGGGUCAGUAAAAUAACGGCGUACCUUUUCUGAGGGGAAGUGCAUAUGGACUUCUCCGGUUCCAAUGUAGAUAAUUGCUUUAACGGUGCUGAGGAACGGUCUUCCAAGGAUGAUGGGCGGAUCGUACUCGUCUUCUCCCAUGUCAACAACUUGAAAGUCUGUGUAGACAAAGUGAUCGUCUAUUUUGACUGGGGCAUCAGAUACUAUUCCUUGAACUUCUCGAAAUGUCUGAUCUGCCAUCUGGAGCUGAAUGUAUGUUGGUCUUAGUGGCAUGGUUCCGAACAAGAGCCGAUAGGUGACUGCGGCCAUUAUGUUGACGCCUGAUUCGGUGUCGCAAAUCGUCUUGUAGAAGUUGUAUCCUUAUAGAGCAGUAAAUGCUUGGCAUUCCUGGGUCGUCCUUCGUGGUCAAAAACGGUGACUUAAGUUGGUGAUCUUGGCCUCCAUGAACUACAGUGACCAUCUUAGCUGACUCGGUCCACACUUGCUUGUUCCUGUUUGUCCUGUUGGUCCUCUUCCUUGAUUCACGUCUGGAUUGAUUUGGAAUUUGUGUAGUCUUGUUCUUGAAGAAAAAUGUCUCCUUCUUUCUUUUGACGUAGAAACUGAUCUUGGCAGCACUGGUGUAGAUGAUAGCUCCCGUGGUAUUCAAGAAUGGCCUCCCUAAGAUGAUAGGUGCUCUCUCAUCAUUUCCGGUCUCUACCACUACGAAGUCUGCUGGGGCAUAUAAGGUACCAACUCGGACACAAAGGUUCCUCACUAUUCAUUUUGGAAAAGUUAUUGUCUGAUCUGCAAACUGCAAACACAUGGUUGUCUCUAAUAAAGGAUUUGUAAAGAAUUUCUCAUAGAGUACCCUGGGUAUAAUGUUGACGCUGGAGCCAAAGUCGCAGAGUGCUUCUGGAACGUCCACCAUGCCGAUGGAGAUCGGGAUGACGGGGCGUCCUGGAUCGCCUCUCUUGACCGGCAGAAGGUCAGUAGAAAAUUCAGUGACGGGGUUACUCCAAUUACCUGCAUUAAACAUGUACCGGGGUUAGUAGUAGGAACAGCAGCAGCUAUUUGAUUUAACUGGGAUUCAAUCAUUUUAUUAAAGCUAAUUUGAUUUUUGAUGGCAGUAGAAAAAUUAUCCAUUCUAUUAUUUAUAUUUUCUAGCAUUUUAUCAUUAGAUGCCAAUUUCUUAGAUAGAUUAUCCAUUAGCUUUCCUUGAUUAGACACUAACUCUCUCAAAGGUGGAAAAUUACUAUUGUUGUUGUAAGAAUUGUUACCUUGAUAAUUACCUAAGUAGUUAGGCCUCUGUUGAUUCCAACCUUGAGUUUGUUGAGGACGGUUGUAGUAGUAGUAGUUGUUGUUGUUGAUGUAGUUCACAUCCUCAAGCAUCUCAGGACAGUGGUUGCCUGAGUGUCCAGUGUCUCCACACUCCUCACAAGUCAUGUGAGAGUCAUAGAUGUGCAUAACUUCUUUCUUGUCUCCAGCUCUAUCAUCGAGCUUCUUCAUGAGCAGGUCUAGCUUUGCAGACAGCAUGUCUACCUCCUUCAGCUGAUGCAUACCUCCACCUCUCUUGCGUGUCUGGGUCCUCUCUUCAUUCCAGCUUUGAUUGGACGCCAUCUUCUCCACAAGAGCUGUGGCUUGUGGUAUAGUAAGUGAUAAGAAUGCUCCUCCAGCUGCAGCAUCCAUGGUCUCUCGGGCACUGUUGCUGAGCCCAUGAUAGAAUGUCUGCAUCAAUAGCCAACUCUCCAUUCCAUGAUGGGGACAUUCUAGGAUGUAGUCUUGAAAGCGCUCCCAUGCUUCUGGAACAGAUUCAUCAUUUUGUUGCUGAAAACUCGUAAUCUUCCCACGGAGAGCAUUGGUCUUGCCCAUGGGAAAGAACUUUGCCAGGAAGUUUGUUGAGCAGAGUGCCCACGUAGUAUUCUUCUCCUUUGUAGCGUAAAACCACUGCUUCGCUCUUCCUAACAGUGAGAAUGGGAAGAGGCGAAGUAGUAUAGCGUCUUUGGAAACUCCUGCUAUGGUGAAUGUGUUGCAAAUCUCCAGGAAGUGUUGUAAAUGAGCACUAGCAUCUUCGUGUGCCUUCCCACAGAACUGGUUGGAUUGCACCAUGUUGAUAAGUCCAGGCUUGAGCUCAAAGUUGCCAUCGAUCUCUGCAGCAGGUCCAGUGUGGAUGUUGUCCGUAGUGGGAGCUGAGAACUCGCGGAUUGAUUUGUUCGCCAUGGCUUCGAACUCUAAAGACAAGUUUCGGUGAUCUUCUUGAUUGGAUGAAGCUUCUUGCUGAAGUGUUGAUGAUUUCUUUAGCUUGGCUCUCGUCUUCUUGAAUAAUGCUUCGGGAUUGUCAACAAAAUUCCUUGGAAGAUGUCUUCUAUUCAUACAUUCCCCUGCAUAAGAUAAAAUAGAAAAAUAUCGGGGUAAAACUGUAUGAGAGAAUAGAUAAGCUCAAUGAUAUUAGUGAUGCGAAUGAUAACUCAAAAUCUUUUAUUCCAUUCCUGAUUGGUAAUCAACCUUUCCCGGCAACGGCGCCAAAAAUGCUUGUUGGGUAUUCUUAACAUCAUUACCAAAAGUAGACUAAGUUCUCUAAAUCUAGUAACAGUGCCAAAAAUGCCAAACCUAUCCCUCACACCACUUAAGCCAAGUUGUCAUCCCCAGCAUGACAUGAGAGACGCGGUAUUGAAAUAUGCAAUUGCUCUUCUAAAUAAAUAAUGUAUGGGAUCUGCAAGCGCAUAGAUUAAUACCGAUGCAGCAUUUUAACCGGGAAGUAUUCCAGGUAUCGUUAUUUAUAUUUUUACCACUGGGAAGGGAUUAGCAAUCAUCAACAUUGAUUACAGAAUAGAAUAUGAGAUUGAGCAUCUAUCAUUGCAUGUAUAAUUGAGAACAUUUAUCUAACUCUUCACACAGAGAUAAGUGUCACAUAAAAGAUAUAUGAAAUAAUAAUAGUGACAAGUAUAACUAAUCUGAUCUAGCCACAUAAUAAAUAUGAUAAGCACCUCAAUUAGAUACUCUAGAAAGUCAUUAGCAUGGUAUUAGAACAAACUACAAGAAUAUUCCCUAAGUUAUUCUUAACUAUAUAGUCUAGCAUUAUCAUAAUUAGUGCAAGCAUACUUAGCAAUCAUUGCGAGACAAGACUACGCCCAUGCAUAGUGAUAUUAGCAAGGAAUAUGAGAAACAUAGCAAUCACUCCCCUGUAAUAAUGUUGCUCUGCCUGCCCAAUACACGAGAGGGGGACUAUAUAAGAAUCAAUGAAGCUAUCACUAUCACGAACCACCCCACGAUCUGGCAUAUUGGGUACAAUCGCAGAUAAAUACGGUAUAAGCACCACGCCUACACAAUAUCUAUCAUUUACCCAUGGAUCCGAUGGAUAAACGCUAUACGAUCCUAAGCAUGUAUAUAGAUCGAAUCUAACUAAGCCAAGUACAUAACUAUGAUAAACUAAGAACAAUAUAAUCUUGAAUAUAAGCAAGUAGAGCAAAGUCAUAAGCAAUAUAUUGAAGUAGAACAAAGUCAUAUUCAUAAUAUUGAAGAACAAAGAUAAUUAGAAAGCAAUUAGAAGCACAAUUAGAGAAUUACCAAGAAUCCUCCUGACAGAUCCGGAAACCAAUCGAAGAUUGACUCCUUCUAGUUCUAAUCCUAUGUAGCUAUGCUAAUCUAGAUGUCUAAUUGAUGUGGUGGCUCUAAUCUUGAUCACAGGCUUCUUCUCCCUUGAUGGAACAAUGAAUUAGGGUUGAGAGGCUCUCUCCUCCAGGGGCCAGGGGUCUGGUUUUAUAGUCCCUUCAAGUGAAUAUGGGCCCUUGGAUCAAACCGACAUAGAUUGUAUGGUUUAGAUUCAUCCUUUAGGUCGGUGGAGAUCUCCCGCAAAGCAGAGUCCUGAUUGGACUCCUGGAGGGGGCGGGCGCCCUGUCUCUGGCCCCGUUUCGCCUCCGCUUCGGUCUCGUGGCUUCUGGAGUCUUCUAGAUGUAAGAUAAUUGCACAGCACGUUAAUAUCUUUACGUAAUCCCGACAUGUGGGCCUUUCUUCCAUAUUUCCUGAUAACCCCCUGUAGAACUAGACAAACACCAAAACUCGUGGAAUUCUGUCAGAUAAAACCCUAAGUCUAGAUCUUGAUUUCAUUUGGAUCUUUUUCUUUAUUUAUUUGAUAAUUAAAUUUGAUACUUAAGGACCGUCAACACAUGGCGGCACGACGGCGCUGCUCGCCGUGGCCAGGCCGCUCUGGUGCGUUAGAGCGCGCGCAAAAGCUCCUCCGAGCUUCCCCAUCGAGCUACGGACCUAACGCGCUAAAGAGCGAGCGAAACUAGGCAGGAUAUUGCAAGAGUACUCCAGCGAGCGAUUCACGGCACACGGUUGCUUCUCACCUUGGUAGAGCGCGCGCAGGGGCUUAACCACGGCGAACGGUUAGUGCGCUGGUGCUCUUGGCGUCGACGUUGGGGCUCCUGUUGCGACCGGCNNNNNNNNNNNNNNNNNNNNNNNNNNNNNNNNNNNNNNNNNNNNNNNNNNNNNNNNNNNNNNNNNNNNNNNNNNNNNNNNNNNNNNNNNNNNNNNNNNNNUGGCCGCGGCGCGUCCAACGCCGGCGCACGGCCGCCACGUAGCCGGCGCCGGGUGGAUCGGGGCGGGCGCCGCGCGCGCGGGAGAGAGGGGAGGGGGAGCGGGCCGCGCUGCCCAGCUGGGCCGAAAGGGAGGCGGGUCGGCCCAGCAGCGCCUGUCCCCUUAGAAUUUGAAUUACAAAUUAAAACUAGUUCUAGGUUUUUAAAUAAAUUCAUUUUGGUCAUUUUGUAUAAAUUCCAUUUCUCAAAUUCUAUAGCUCCAAAAAUUGCACAAAAAUAUUCUUAAUUCUUCUUACACAUAAAUCCACCUAGUUUGAAUAUUUCACAUUUUUAGAAGCAAGCAUCAUAUUUUUAACAUAUUUAGAACACAGGAAAUAAAGCACAUAAAAUCAUGUUUUGGGAUGAAUGACAUGCUCAUGAUGCUAUGCUUGAUGAGAAUGCUUAUGCAUUGCUUUGAUAAGGCUAAGUGCAAGCUUAACACCUAGGGUGUUACAGCCCUUCCCCCCUUAGGGAAAUCUCGUCCCGAGAUUUUGGGUUACUAACCAUUUCUUAUGAAAUUUUGGAUAAACUGUUUUCAAGUAAUCCUCUGUUUCCCAGGUGGCAUCCCUAUCGUCAUGAUGACUCCACACCACCUUAUAAGUUCUGACAACUUUGUUUCGGGUUACUCGUUCCUUGGUAUCCACAAUUCCCACUGGCUGCUCUUUAUACUCCAGAUUUGCUUUUAUCUUGAUUCCUCGAGGUUCAAUUCUUUGCUCAGGUACUUUCAAACAUUUCCGCAGUUGCGACACAUGGAAGACCGGAAAGAUCGAGCUCAACUCUUCAGGUAACCGAAUCUUGUAGGCCACUAGGCCUUUCCUCUCUAGUACUUGAUACGGUCCCACAUAUCUGGGUGCAAGCUUGCUUCGAACUCGGAAACGUUGAACUUUCUUCAUUGGUGUAACCUUAAGGUACACAUAGUCACCUAUGUUGAAUUCAAGUGGCCUUCUUCUCUUAUCAGCAUAACUCUUUUGUCGUGAUUGUGCUGCUUGCAUAUGCUGCUGUAUGAUUUGUACCUUCUUCUCUGCCUCAUUCACAAAGUCGAUACCAUAGUAUCUUCUUUCACCAGGUUCAACCUAGUUCAACGGAGUUCUACAUCUCCGACCAUACAGAACUUCGAACGGAGCCAUCUUGAUACUCUCUUGAUAACUGUUAUUGUAUGAGCAUUCAGCCAGAGGUAACGAUGAUUCCCAUGAUCCCUUGGAUGAUAGCACACAGGCCCUUAGCAUAUCUUCUAACACUUGAUUUAGCCUCUCCGUUUGACCUGAAGUCUGGGGAUGAUACGCCGUGCUUCUUAUCAGACUGGUCCCCAAACUCUUAUGGAUGCGCUCCCAGAAGUGAGCGGUGAACUGUGGUCCUCUAUCUGAUAUGAUGGUCUUGGGAAUACCAUGCAACUUAACAAUCUCAGCCAUAUAUAUAUCGGCAUACUCAGGAGGUCGGUAACGGGUCUUCACAGGAAUGAAAUGGGCCGAUUUGGUCAAUCGAUCUAUGAUUACCCAAAUCGAGUCAUUUCCCUUCCUUGUCGUUGGUAAACCCGUGAUUAAGUCCAUACUGACUUCUUCCCAUUUCCACUCUAGAACUGAUAACGGUUGCAACAGACCUGCAGGUUUCAUAUGGAUGGCCUUAACUCUGCAACACGUGUCACAACGGGCUACAUAUGCGGCUAUUUCCUUCUUCAUCUUGGUCCACCAAAAGUGGGGUCUUAGAUCUUGAUACAUUUUGCUACUGCCAGGAUGAAUGGAAAGCUUAGAGAGAUGGGCUUCAUCCAUGAUACGAUUCUUCAAUUCUCGAUCCUUCGGGACUACUAACCGAUGUUGAAACCACAGUACCCCUUUCUCAUCAACGCGAAAUUGAGUUUUUGGGUCAUCUUUGAUCUUCUCUUUGAUGUGGAAAAUGCCCUUGUCUGUUUUCUAUCCUUCAAUGACUUGACUCUUGAGUGAACAACUGAGUUGUAUGUGACAUAAGACCUCAGGAUGCAUGAGAUUGAAUCCAUCUUCAAACAACGGUUGAACCACUUGAUAGUGCAGUUUACGACUCAACGCAUCCGCUACUACAUUAGCUUUGCCAGGAUGGUAGUGAACUUCCAGAUCAUAGUCCUUGAUUAACUCUAACCACCGUCGUUGCCUCAUAUUCAGCUCGGACUGAGUGAAGAUGUACUUCAAACUCUUAUGAUCGGUAUAAAUGUGACACUUAUUCGCCAGCAGAUAGUGUCUCCAAAUCUUCAAGGCGUGUACCACUGCUGCUAACUCGAGGUCGUGAGUUGGGUAGUUGACUUCGUGCUUUCUCAACUGUCGAGAAGCAUAAGCUAUCACCCUGCCAUCUUGCAUCAACACACACCCCAGGCCACUCUUCGAUGCGUCACAAAAUACAUCAAAAGGCUUCUCUAUAUUAGGUUGUGCCAGAACGGGAGCAGUGGUUAGCAACUUUCGCAAGGUGCGGAAGGCUAACUCACACCCUUCCGUCCAGACAAACUUAUGAUCCUUUUGCAGCAAACUUGUCAUUAGCUUAGCAAUCUUGGAGAAGUCAGGUAUGAAACGACGAUAAUACCCGGCCAGACCAAGAAAGCUCCUAACUUCUGAGACAGAAGUUGGUGCCUUCCAGUCCAUGACUUCCUGCACUUUUGACGGAUCCACAACAAUCCCUUCUUCAGACAGAAUGUGCCCUAGGAAAGGAACUUUCUUCAACCAGAACUCAAACUUGCUGAACUUGGCAUAUAACUGAUGCUCUCGUAAUCGUGUCAGCACGAUUCUCAGAUGCUCGGCGUGAUCUUGCUCAUUUUCUGAAUAAACCAGGAUAUCAUCGAUAAACACCACAACAAACUUAUCCAAUUCUGGCAUAAAGACUGAAUUCAUCAGAUACAUAAAGUAUGCAAGAGCAUUUGUCAAUCCAAAGGACAUGACAAGGUACUCAUACAACCCAUAUCUGGUGGAAAAAACAGUCUUCGGGAUAUCUUGUGGACGAAUCUUGAUUUGGUGAUACCCGGAUCUCAAAUCUAUCUUAGAAAACACUCUUGCCUUGGACAACUGAUCAAACAGGAUAUCAAUCCUUGGCAACGGAUACUUAUUCUUGAUUGUCACUGCAUUGAGUGGACGAUAGUCCACGCACAUGCGCAGCGAUUGAUCCUUCUUUUUCACAAACAACGCGGGACAACCCCAUUCCGACGAGCUUGGUCGGAUGAACCCUUUAUCCAGUAUCUCUUUUAGUUGAUUCUUCAACUCAGCGAGUUCGUUUGGUGGCAUCCGGUACGGCCUUCUAGAUAUUGGCGCUGUACCCGGUAUCAACUCGAUUGCAAACUCUACUUCCCUAUCCGGGGGAAGUCCUGGUAAAUCCUCGGGAAAAACGUCAGGGAACUCACAUACCACGGGUAUGUGUUCUAGGGAAACCACGUGUACUGCACAUGAAAGACUGGCGAAGUCCAACCGCCUGGGUAGCUUGACCUGAAGCACACCCUUCCCUUGCGGGUCUCUGAGGGAAAGAGUUUUAUUCCCGGCAUCUAUAACUGUGCCCCAGUCAGACAUCUUGUUCAUUCCAAUGAUGACAUCCAAAACUAGCCUUGGCAUGACCACAAGGUUUACGCGAAACCUCAGCCACUGAUAUCCAAAGUAACUCCUGUUACUGUUUUAUUAGUCAACACAUCAGCUCCGGCUGAGCUGAUGCGAUAGCCAUAACCUAACUCAGUAACUGGCUGGUCAUGCUUUUGUGCAAAUGCUUGGCUCAUGAAUGAAUGCGAUGAUCCAGAAUCAAACAAAACAACUGCGAGAUGUUGGUUGACAGGAAACAUACCAGCUGUUACCGGUUCUCCUUCCGGGAUCUCCUCGAUCGAGGUAUGGUGCACACGGGCUGGAUAGGUUGGCUGCUGCCUCUUUGGGUAGGGACAUUCCUUAGCAAAGUGCCCCAUCUUGUGGCAGUUAUAGCACGGACCCUUGGGCGCAUUGUUGACGGCAGGUGCUGCAGCUUGAAUUGCCUUUGGCUUGGCAGGGGCUAUCGCCACCUUGUACGGCUUCUGCUGUGUUGGAUGCCCGGUGUUCCUUCUCUGCGGCGGUCGGAACCUAGCACCUGGGGCAGGAGGACGAUACUGCUGUUGCCCUGCCACUGGUGCCCUAGACUGGGAUGAUCCGGCUUCAAAAGCCCUCUUACGUGACUUGGACGCACUGUAGUUGUUAUUAUUGUUUUCUUGGGUCAGACAGUCACUGAUAUAGGCAUUGAAGGUAGCCCUGGCCCCUGUACCCUUGGUCUUCAGCAUCUUUGGACUCAAGCCUCUCUGGAAACUAGCAAUCUUUUUAGCCUCCGUGUUCACAAACUCCGGGGCAUAGCGAGCGAGAUUGUUGAAAGCGUGUAGAUACUCCUUCACCGAUUUCGUCCCCUGGGACAGCCUCAUGAACUCCCCAACCUUCAUUUCAACCACACCCGGAGGAAUAUAAUUUCCUCGAAAAGCAGUGGUGAAGCGGUUCCAGGUGAUUGGGGUCCCCUCUGGGUAGGUGGUACGGUGAUGGGAUCACCAAAUCCCAGCGGGUCCUUGCAACUGAUGUGCCGCAUACUCAGCCUUAAGUUCUUCUGUCAUUCGGAGAAGACGAAACUUCAGCUCCAUAGUGUUGAUCCACUCAUCUGCCUCGAGCGGUUCCAAAGCCUCUUUGAAGAUUGGUGGCUUGGUAUCCAUGAAGUCCUUGAACAAACUGUACUGAUUGACUUCACGGCCACCCUGAUUAUCCCCACGACGGGUGUUGUCAGCUAUGUUGCGCAGAGCCUCUUCCAUGUUGCGCUGCAUCUGUUACAUGUUGCACUGGCUCCCCAGAAACUGCGCGAAAAACAAAUCAGCAGUGUAUGGAGGAGGCGGUGGUGGUGGCGGUGUUGGUGCUCUGUCCUCAUUCCGUUGAGCCCCACCUCCGGAUGUACCUGCUCCAAGACCCGGAUUGUUGUUACCCCCGCCACGUGUUUGCACCAUCUGCAUACGUCAAUGAUAAGCAAUCGUUAGGAGUUGCCAUCAACGGUAGAAAUGUGUAGAAUCAUGCCGUACUGAAUUUACUGAGGGAAUAAAUUCGCACAAUAAAUAGAGGCACAACAAUUCAUCAUCUACGCACAACAUCACUAACAGAUUACUUAACGUUCACGCAACAAGGUUCGCGUACAUCCAACUUGCCAGCAUACAUACACUGGACUUUCGGCAUUAGCUCAUAAGUCUUACAUAGCCCAGAUCCAAAAGUACAAGACAUGCCAUGCAACAUACAACAGCAAAAGAAGAGUGACUAGCUCUAGAGCCCUAGCAUCUAGUCACUAUGAUCACUGUCCAUGCCGGAGCCAUCCUCAUCCUCAUCUCCACUAGAAGCUGCUCCUAUCGUGGGAUCCGCAUCCAUCUCGUCCUCAGAGUAUAGCUCAGCUGCUCCAGGCAGGUGGUGAGGGUGGAGCCGGUUAUGCAGCUGGUGGAUCUCCUCAUGCAAGUUCUCAUUGUACUCCUCGGCAUUAGCUAGCUGCUGCUCUAGCUCUAGCUGUCGGGCCCUCAAAGUGUCCUCCUCGUGCCAGGCUUCAUUCCUCUGACCAAGCACAUGGACUAGCUGUUGGGUAUUCUUAACAUCAUUACCAAAAGUAGACUAAGUUCUCUAAAUCUAGUAACGGUGCCAAAAAUGCCAAACCUAUCCCUCACACCACUUAAGCCAAGUUGUCAUCCCCAGUAUGAUAUAAGAGACGCGGUAUUGAAAUAUGCAAUUGCUCUUCUAAAUAAAUAAUAAAUGGGAUCUGCAAGCGCACAGAUUAAUACCGAUGCAGCAUUUUAACCGGGAAGUAUUCCAGGUAUCGUUAUUUAUAUUUUUACCACUGGGAAGGGAUUAGCAAUCAUCACUAUUGAUUACAGAAUAGAAUAUGAGAUUGAGCAUCUAUCAUUGCAUGUAUAAUUGAGAACAUUUAUCUAACUCUUCACACAGAGAUAAGUGUCACAUAAAAGAUAUAUGAAAUAAUAAUAGUGACAAGGAUAACUAAUCUGAUCUAGCCACAUAAUAAAUAUGAUAAGCACCUCAAUUAGAUACUCUAGAAAGUCAUUAGCAUGGUAUUAGAACGAACUACAAGAAUAUUCCCUAAGUUAUUCUCAACUAUAUAGUCUAGCAUUAUCAUAAUUAGUGCAAGCAUACUUAGCAAUCAUUGCGAGACAAGACUACGCCCAUGCAUAGUGAUAUUAGCAAGGAAUAUGAGAAACAUAGCAAUCACUCCUGUUGACGGUUCUUAAGUAUCAAUUUUAAUUAUCGAAUAAACAAGAGAAAGGACCAAUAUGCAACCAUCACCAAGAAUUAGGGUUUGAUCUGACAGAAUUCCACGAGUUUUGUUGUUUAUCUGUUUCUGCAGGGGGUUAUCAGGAAAUAAGGAAGAAAGGCCCACAUGUCGGGAUUACAUACAGAUAUCAACGCAUCGCGUAAUUUUUCAUCAUCUAGAAGACUCCAGAAGCCACGAGACCGAAGCGGAGGCGAAACUGGGCCUGGCCCAGGGCGCCCGCCCUGGUAGCCUGGGCGCCCGCCGCCCUGUUGGAGCCAAAUCAGGACUCUUUCGCUCGAGAUAUUCCACCGACCUAUUGGAUCAAGAAAAACAUAGUACCACCUCGCCUAUCGACCCAAAAACGCAUAGAAGGGGAGGACUAUAUAAGCAAGGCCCCCUGGCCCCUAGAGAAGACAUGAAGAAAUUAUCAUAGAGACCGAGGGGUGCCCUCGAAGGAAAACCUCUUCUCUAAUUAAUAUUUCUUUUUAGGCUUAGCAAUCAAUGUAAGGUAGAAAUAGAUCUUCUAGUUUCUACUAGAUUGAGAGAGAUAGAGUGAAGGUGUAGAUUGGAGGAAGCCCGGCCUGUCGGUGUCUACUCCAAGCUUGUACCUGCGGGAUCAAGUUCUCCUAACCCGAAGCUUGCUCCUAGGAUUCUUCAGUAAUUCGACUUCUAAAUUCUAGUAAGUUCUUGUUUUAUUGUUCUUUUGGUUUAUGAGUUUACUUUAAUCUCUUCGCGUAGAGUUUAGAGUAAUCAUUGCUGGCGUAAACGUGGUGUUUAGGCUGGGGUACUCAUAGAUAUUCCCUGACUAGCUGGACCGUGGUAGUAGUGAGGAACGUGACAAUUCCGAGCUACCUUUGUAGAUCACAUCUCGUUAGCAGGAAGGAUAGGGUUUAUAGGUGCGGGUUGAACAUCCUUUGUGGUGUCUAGAUUCCGUUAGCCUCCCCAUUAGAACAGUAGAUCAUCCUUACCAAGGUUAGAAGGAGACUACAGUUGCAGUCUUCUCUAUUUAUCACUCACAUCGAAAGACAUUCUUUGUGCCUAAAGGUUAGUAGUAAUAGACCGGUUAGUCAGAUGCACUCUUUCUCCUAGUGGUAAAAAAAUAAACACAAUACUCUCGAUAACCUCCCGGGUGAAGUGCUCACCGAUAUCCGUGCGCUUGCGGAUCAAUUCCUUAUUGCGUUCCCAAAUAUCAACAAGCAUUUCUGGCGCCGUUGUCGGGGAGAAAGACGGUUGCUGAGAUAACCUGUGUCUUGCUACUAGCUUGUAUCUAUACUUUUAUCUUUUCUUAUCUUUUAUAUCCUUUAUUUAUUUUCUUUAUUCUUACCUUAUGGAAAACCAAAAUUCUAAAUCGAUCCAUGAGUCUACAAUCCCUUUAGCAACUGACCUUUUACCAUGGGAAUCAUCACAGCCUAUCCAAACAUCCCAGUAUAAGUUAAGUUCUAGGUUGAUUGCCAUGAUUCAAAACCUAUCUUUUUCGGGAAAGGAAGACGAAAACCCUUACCUUCAUAUUAGAGAUUUUGAGCAAACAUGUGAUUGUCUUCGCAUUGAAGGCAUUUUUGAUAAGACUUUACGUUGGAAGCUUUUUCCUUUUUCUCUAAGGGGAGAAGCUAGACAAUGGUACAGUCAGAAGGUAAGUCAACAACAAGGUGAAUGGGGAGUUUUACGAGCCAACUUUUGUCUAGAUGUCUAUUCCCUUGACCGUAUAGCCGACCUUAGACUCGAAGUCCUAUCUUUUAAACAAAAAGAUAAUAAAACUUUGGGAAAAUCCUGGAAACGUUUUUCUGAUCUUUUAGAAUCUGGUCCAAACCUUAAUCUUGAAGACCCUGUUCUUUUAUUUCACUUUUUUCGAGGUCUUCAGAAAAAUCACAAACAAAUGCUUCACACAAUGUCUAGAGGUUCUUUCUUUCGCAUCCCUGCUGAUGAAGCUAGAGUGAUCCUAGAUAGAAUCCUAGAAGCUGAGAUGGAUAAUACCCUUCAUGAUGAAACCUACGAAGCCGAAGUAGACACUCUGCCAAAUUCUUCAUCUACUUUAGCUAUCCCAAGUUCUGAGCCACAAGAGGAAGAAAUUCCACUACCGGACUUCAUGCUGGAUAUAGAAUCCGAUCUUUUUGCCGAUUUUGGAAAUAUUUCAAACUACCAUUCUAUUGACAAACCCAAAACGGCCAGUUUAGCAUUUAUUUACCAAGUGAAUAUCAAUUGAGAGAGCUUAUCUCAGUAAUGAGUAGCGAAUGGUUGGAGGAAUCAGAGCUUUCCUCUGAUGUGAUCCGUUUGGACACACCCUCUAUAACUAUACGCUGUGCUUAUAAUUCUAAUCGAUUUAAUGCUCUCUAUAAUCCUGUUGUGGGGAUCAACAUUAUGUCUGAAUCCUUUGCACUUAAACUAUUUAAAAAUCUUGUCUUAACCCCCACAACAAAGGUCAUAAAGGAAUCUUCGGGACGAUUGGUCCCCAGUCUUGGAAUUAUUAAUGUCCUACCUCUCACGGUAGAAGGCUCCAUGGUUCAUUUGAACUUCUACACUACAAAAAUUGUGGGCUUCUGUGACAAUUAAACUAUGACGAUAAGAGUCUGUUUCCUGUCACUGCCUACCUACAGAGAUGAAAUGACUGUCGUCACAGAAGGUGGGUCACUAACCAGCUUCUGUGACGACUAGAGGAUAUCGUCAUUAAUAUAGUGACGUUAGUUCUCCUGUCAUUAAUAUAAUGACAAUACUGAACUCGUCAUAACAUAUUGAAUAGAAUAGGGCAUUGGCCCAUUUAGUUUUUAGUGUUCUUUGAGCCCCUGUUUUUUUCCCAAAAUCAGUCCAUUUUUCUCAAAUUAACCAGACCAUUUUUUUAUAGCAACAUUAAUUAGAUUUUUCGGCCCACAACCCACACAAAUUCACAUGCUGGGCCUUAUUUUUAUUUGGUUAGCCCAUUAACAUUUAUAAGCAUAGACAUUGCAGAAAUAUAUCUUAACAGUAUAUGAUAACAGCAAUUACAUAGGAAAAAUGUAUCAGAUUCUCUACCAUCAUCCAAAACAUGAAACUAACAUCAGCUAUAACUUAACACAAGUGCUACAAUUACAAAAUGCUAGCAGAAAGCUAUUCUGCACGAAUGCACGCUUCACUUGGCUCAUGAAAAUGUUAUGUCACUUGUAGCAAUCUUCUUCGCCAUGAUUUCUACACUGCAAAUUUGAAAUUGGCACCUCAAUGUUCCUGUGAAGUAAACCAACCAGAAUUAGAGAUUUGUACUCAUGAAAUGGAAUUAGUCAUGUAGAACAAUAGAAUUCACACGAAACUACAAACUUCACAUGCCAGCAGUCGAUAGUGGCAACUAUAUUUUUUAGAUAAUGGAAAAAUAGCUCCAGCCUUAAACUAGAAUGAAACUGAACUUCCAAUCUCAUGCUUACAAGAGGAAUACAGUAACAUAGUAGCGGACUCAGGGUGAUAGACGAUAAUCUUUCACUAGUUAGUAAUAUAAUAGCACAAAUAAUUCAUCCAACACCCACUUCUUUUAGUGUUUCACAUAUGGACUUGAUAACAGUUAAUUCAAACUCAGCCACUGCCAUAAUCACACUCACAGUUCACAGCCAUGUUGUAUACCAAUGGCAGUCCAUUGUCCAGAAAUAUAUGCAUUCAGUUUUCAGAAAUACUUGAUGAAUAGUCCAUAAGCAUUCAUUCAGAAAUACUUGUAUGAAACCUAUUAAGACAAUAGAAUAGUCCACAAUAAGCACCAUUUUGACAGAAUAAUGGGUUGUUUUCAGAACUUAGAUUCUUGCAGCAGAAAAACAUUGCACAUAAAUUUGUAAAAUAGAACCUGAUGCUUAUCUACAACUUAUUUUUUUGAGGUUUCAAGUUCAAUCAAUCACACAGUAGACUGAUAAGGCAUAUUUUAAUAACACAUUUCCUCCUAAGCCUCUAUAUCUAAAAUUUUGCUGCACACGACUAAUGUAGCCUGAACUGAACAUGCUGCCUACCAUCCAAAAUUCCUCCUAAUUAUCAUGCAAAUCUAGUAGGGUAAAUGAAAAAUUAACAAGCCUCUGAGGCAUAACCAGUAGAGCACUUACAAGUAUGCACGAGUAUACCAAUGAUGCCAGAUCUAGAACAACAAUUAACUAGACAACACAACCUCAAUCUACAGUCAGAGAGGACAUGACCAAAAGGGGGGACGUGAUUGCUUAUCUCGCUAGGGUUUCGACCCAGCAUGUCUUUGAGACCCAUCGUCUCCUCUCAGGCGACCUGUGAGAGCCGCCGACACUCAUCCGCGAGCCUCCACGCAGGGGUCGUGGCCGCGUCGUGGUCGAUGCGCACGUCGGGGCCGAGCCUCCACGUCGCGCGGACCCCAUGCAGCGAGCGUAGGCGCACGGGCCAUAUGCGGGGCCGUGGCCGUGCCGCUCGCGCCCGCUUAAGGCCGCACACGGAUCUGACCUCCGUGCUGUCCGUGGGCCACGGCCGCGCCAUGAGCCGUGCGCUCGCGCUGAGUGCCGCUGCAGGGCCAUCCAGGCCGGCCACGCGCCGUGAGGCUCCACGUGGGGCUACCGAGGCCUUGCUGCCCACCACCAGCAUGGCAAGCGGCGGCGCCUGUGCAUUUCUGCCUUGAUGGUCGCUGAGCUUCAGGCCAGUUAGUCACGGCCGCCCUCUCCUCCUGUUGAGUGGUCUGCGGCUGGAGCAGGGAAGAGGGAGUGGGAAACUGAGGAUAAGUUUAGGGUUUCAUCCUUUUAUAUGUGGAUUUUUUGGUCCAAACGAAUCACAACCGUUGGAUCGAUUUGGAUGGCUCAGAUGAGUUCACAUUAGGGUUUCUUUGUUGGGCCAAAAUUUAAGCUUUUCAGGGAGCCGGCUGGGCCAAGCAGGCCGCGCGCGGCUCACUCUGCAGUGCCGCUGCUGGGCCAUUUUUAGCCAGUGGCGAAAUUUCAGUUUUAAUAAUUGCAGAAUUUGUUUUUUUAUUUGUUAUUUCCAUCAGCACUUUAUUUUUAGUAACUUUAAGUUAAUUUAAUUCAGUUAUAAGUUUAUAUUUUAUAUAUAUUUAUUCGCUGAAAAUAAACAAAUAGAGAGUAAACUGAAAGUUAAGUUUUCGAUGGGUUUUUAUACCAUGAGUAAACUGUAUGUUAUUGGAACUUUUUAAUAGUUAUUUUCCCUUUUAAUUUUUUUUAAAAAUAAAAUAGACAAAAACAUGUUCGAACCCCCUUAUACACCUGUUUUUUUGAUUGGUUUUCCCUACCAUCCAGGUAGCAUAUAGAAGUCAGAACGCUUAAAUAACAAGGUUCAAGACCAAACGCCACAUAUUUUAUAUACCAGUUUUUCUUUUUUUUUAAUGUUUUUUCUUUCCAUCCAGACUCUGCAGAACAAAUGAAUUCAGCUCAUCUAGUUUACCAUACCAAAAGGGCAUGUGUUCAAAGCUAGUCAAAAUGCCAUUUUUUGUUUUUCUUUUUUGAAAAUUUUUCCAUCAAUCCUAAGACUUAGAGCUGACGUGGACGGAAAAAGUUCACCUAGAACACAUGAUGUGUUGACCAGCAGCUAUGUAGAAUAAGAUAAUAUUUUUUUUUAAAAAAGUAUAGUAGUCCUAUAUUUUAUGACGAUCAACUAUUGUUAUGAUCUAUCAUCGCAAAGGCCAUGCUGAGUAUACUGUGAUGAUGUUUAUGACGAACACACAGCUUGGUCACAGACAGUUGUCAUCAUAUGAACAAUCGUCAUAAACAACCUCUGUUUAUGACAAAUAGAUGCUCUGUCAUCUGGCAAUCGUCAUAGAAGCCCAGAUUUCUUGUAGUGCUAUAUCUUUGAUACAUGGGACUUCGACCUGUUGAUAGGACAACCUUUUAGAAGACUCCUUUAUGAAGGUCAUACUGGAAAGCUACACAUUUCUUUUGGAAAAACCUUUAAAUUCCCAAUAAUAAUUUCACACUCCUUAAACAAUAAGGCCGAGUCAUAUCUUUUGCCUGAUCCUAUGGAGGAAGUAAAGGCUGCAUCUCUAGAGCUUUUAGAUGAACCAGACUUAGAAGACGAAACUCCUUUCUUCACUGAAGAAGAAGAUGAACCUUCUGAGCCUGAACCCUUAGAUGAGUUUGCAGAAACACCUAGACCCCCCAUAGAACUUAAAACUUUACCACCCGGUCUUACCUAUGCUUUCCUAAACAAUAAUCCAGAGUUCCCUGUGAUCAUUAGCGAUAAACUCACUCAGGAUCAAACUCUGCGAUUAAUGACCAUCCUUGAGAAACAUCACUCGGUUUUUGGCUAUUCACUUCAAGAUCUUACAGGAAUCAGUCCUAUGAUUUGUACACAUCGUAUUCCAACAGAUCCUUCUGUUACACCCUCUCGAGAACCCCAACGUAGACUUAACAACACUAUGAGAGAGGUAGUUAAAAAGGAAGUUAUAAAGUUGCUGCAUGCAGGGAUUAUAUAUCCUGUGCCGCACAGUGAGUGGGUGAGCCCAGUACAAGUUGUGCCCAAAAAGGGAGGCAUGACAAUUAUUAUGAAUGAAAAGAAUGAGCUAAUUCCGCAACGCACCGUCACAGGAUGGCGGAUAUGCAUAGACUAUAGAAAACUAAAUAAAGCCACGAGAAAGGAUCACUUUCCUUUACCUUUUAUAGAUGAGAUGCUAGAGCGGUUAGCAAAUCAUUCGUUCUUCUGUUUCUUAGAUGGAUACUCAGGAUAUCACCAAAUCCCGAUCCAUCCCGAUGAUCAAAGCAAAACACUUUUACAUGCCCUUAUGGAACUUAUGCUUACCGUAGAAUGUCUUUUGGGUUAUGUAAUGCACCAGCUUCUUUUCAAAGAUGCAUGAUGUCUAUAUUUUCUGAUAUGAUUGAAGAGAUUAUGGAAGUUUUCAUGGAUGAUUUCUCUGUUUAUGGAAAAACUUUUGAUAGUUGUCUUGAAAACUUAGACAAGGUUUUGCAAAGAUGUGAAGAAAAGCACUUAAUCCUUAAUUGGGAAAAAUGUCAUUUUAUGGUUAGAGAAGGAAUAGUGCUAGGACACUUAGUGUUUGAAAGAGGUAUUGAGGUAGACAAAGCUAAAAUUGAAGUAAUUGAACAACUACCUCCACCUGUGAAUAUAAAAGGAAUUCGAAGAUUUCUUGGCCAUGCUGGUUUUUAUCGUAGAUUCAUAAAAGAUUUUUCAUUUAUUGCUAGACCACUUACUCUUUUGCUAGCCAAGGAUGCUCCUUUCGAAUUUGAUGAUGCAUGUCUACCAUCUUUCAAUUUAUUAAAGAAAGCACUCAUCUCUGCACCAAUCAUUCAACCCCCUGAUUGGUUGUUGCCUUUUGAAAUUAUGUGUGAUGCUAGUGAUUAUGCUGUGGGGGCAGUAUUGGGACAAACUAAAGAUAAGAAGCAUCAUGCAAUUGCUUAUGCCAGUAAAACUCUGACAGGAGCUCAACUUAAUUAUGCAACCACUGAAAAAGAGCUUCUGGCUGUUGUCUUUGCCAUAGAUAAAUUUAGAUCUUAUUUAGUUGGAGCUAAAAUAAUUGUUUACACUGAUCAUGCUGCACUAAAAUAUUUGCUCACUAAAAAAGAUGCUAAACCUCGCCUGAUUAGAUGGAUCUUAUUACUCCAAGAAUUUGACUUAGAAAUAAAAGAUAAAAAGGGAGUAGAAAAUUCUGUUGCUGAUCACUUGUCUAGAAUGUAUUUUAAGAGUCCACAGGAAACCCCCAUCAAUGAUUCACUCCGGGACGACAUGCUCUACGGGAUUAACAGGUCUGACCCCUGGUAUGCAGAUAUUGUUAAUUUUAUGGUUUCAGGGUUUGUACCACCAGGAGCAAACAAGAAGAAGCUUCUUCAAGAAAGUCGUUCACAUAUAUGGGAUGAGCCAUACCUCUUUCGAGUAUGCUCUGAUGGCUUACUCAGGAGAUGUGUGACCACUGAGGAAGGAUGGAAGAUCAUCGACAGAUGUCAUUCAUCACCAUAUGGAGGUCACUAUGGAGCAUUCCGUACACAUUCAAAGAUCUGGCAGUGUGAAUUCUAUUGGCCUACAAUGUAUGAAGACACGAAGCAAUAUAUUAGAAGAUGUGGGCCAUGUCAAAGGCACGGAAACAUAAAUACAAUGGAUGCAAUGCCACUCACCAACAACCUUCAGAUUGAGCUCUUUGAUGUCUGGGGAAUAGACUACAUGGGUCCAUUUCCUCCAUCAAAGAAGUGUGAGUACAUCUUGGUGGCAGUUGACUAUGUCUCCAAGUGGGUAGAGGCAUUACCUUGCAAGCAUGCCGACAACGUCAGUUCAAAGAGGAUGUUUGAAGAAAUUAUAUUUCCAAGAUUUGGAGUCCCCAGAGUAGUGAUAAGUGAUGGAGGAGCACACUUCAUCGACAAACGCUUCAAGCAAUAUCUAUCAAGACAUGGAAUCCGUCACAACGUCACUACCCCUUAUCAUCCUCAGACAAGUGGCCAAGCAGAGACUUCCAACAAACAAAUCAAGAAUAUUCUUCAGAAGACAGUAAAUGAAAUGGGAACGGCGUGGAAAGACAAGUUACCCGAUGCACUCUGGGCAUACCGGACAGCAUACAAGACCCCAAUUGGAAUGUCUCCAUACCAAUUGGUGUACGGGAAGACUUGCCAUCUACCUGUUGAACUAGAGUUCAAAGCACACUGGGCCAUAAAGAGAUGGAAUAUGGACCUGGAUGUUGCUGGAGAUUAUAGAAGAAUGCAACUAUCAGAAUUGGAAGAAUGGCGAGAGAAGGCAUAUCACAAUUCAAAAAUCUACAAAGAAACAGUCAAAAGGUGGCAUGACAAGAGAAUCAAGAAGAAGGAGUUCACACCCAGAGAUAAGGUAUUACUUUUUAAUUCUAGGGUGAAGCUUUUCGGGCAUGGAAAACUCCGGAGCAAAUGGGAAGGACCAUUCAAGGUAAUCAAUUCAUCAUCCCACGGAGCUAUCACACUUCAAAAUAGCGAAGGUAAGUUAUUCAAGGUAAAUGGUCAACGUCUUAAAUUAUUUUUAGAGCCUAAUGAGGAAUUUGAAGAAAUAGACGUAGUCCAUUUUUACCUUCCCAUGGAGAAAUAGAGCCCGACACUUUUGGUCUGAUGGUUUUGGGUCAUAUAUAUAUUUUUCUAAAUAAUUUCGCAUCUAGAAACACGCUCGGAGAAGUGAGCCCACAUAGGGGCCAGAGAGAGGGCGGGCGCCCAGCCCCUGUUCCCCCUCGGUCUCGACUUUCUCUGUUAUGGAAAAUGCACUUAGGGUGAUCCGAAUAAUCCCUCGGAUGGAAAGUUUUGCACGCACAUCGACGGGAGCAACCCGAACAACCCAUAGAGGCACCCUUUUGACCCCUAUAUAAACAGACCCCUGACCUCAGUUUUCGAACACCAAGCCACCGAGCUUUCUCUCCUUCAAUUAGAGCUUGAUUAGCUCUCCAUCAAUUAAAAUUUUAUUAGUUCCUUGCUACUCCAAUGGCCGAGAAGUACCACGAUGAUUGGGAAGUCGUCCCCUUCAACCUCAACAUAGAACCUAUGGAAGACCCCGAUGCCCGUGCUCUCGUCCCGGCCAACACAGAGCGUCAGCUAGAAGCCAUGCCAUUACACCAACGCAGCUCCGCCCAAUCUUACCAUGCUCAACCAGUUCUCACCGCACCACCACAACCCCUACUCCUUAAAGGAUCAUCAUCCAAAAUGAAGACCACUAUCAAGGUGCCAAUCGGCACAAGGAUCCUUCCACCUAGACCCAAUGAGAGGGUCGUUGGAGUCAAGACCAACCGAAGCGGCGAGAUCAACAGCGUACGCUACACUACGGAGGAGGAAAGGCCUUACUUUGAAGGGAUUAGAGCAGCCAAAGUCCGUUUCGUCCCUCCAAAGGCAGCCCCGAAGCACUCUCUCAGUGCUUUUGAGACACCUCCCAAGCGUCGCAAGACUAUAAUGGAUAUUGAUGAGGAAGUUCGCAGGCUAGAUAGAGUUAUCAUAGACCUCCAGUCCUCGAUUAAUUCCCUUACUAGGCAGCUCUCUAACCACAACACUAUUAUACUAGGCCUUAGGCAGGAUCUUGCCAGUGCCAACAAGAAGAUCAAGGAAUUAGAGCGCCGUUAAGUUAUCUAGAUUAGACCUUGAGGCAAUGCAUCUUAAUUAUUUAUCUUUAAAUUCAGUUUAAGUUUGCUAUUAUCAUCAGUUUACUAUUAUUAUCAGUUUGCUAUCAGUCUUUUGUACUAAAUGCCUCAAGAUCAAUAAAGAGUAUUAUUAUUACUAUGUCUUGUGUGUCUCUACUUUAUUUUUGUGCAAGAAAGUAGAAAACAAGUAUGGGGGAGAUCCCUCGACAUGCUAAACACACUCCGACUACACCACUCCUCAAUUCAGGUACACACUUUGCACACUUUACUUUGCACAUACAUUUAUUCUGGAUUAUGCAGAUUACUGUUUCCGACAUGAUAAAAUAAAAGGAUUAAAAUAUUUCUAAUCAUGAUUAAUCUCAAUCUGUGAUAUUUCCUAAAAACUUGCAAUUAUUAUAAAAUCAUUUUAAAACCCUGUGUUACUUAAGUCAAUUGGAAUAUGUGAUGAUAGAGUAUGAGUUUCUUAUUCUUGAUAUCAUUGUUGCUUGGAGAAUUUAUUUCAAAAUAUUCAAAUUUCUAGCUACCAUCCUCAGUGUUUUAUAUGCUUGAUAAAACUGAAAAUAUUAAUUAUGAUUAUAAAAGCUAUCUGCUCUGUAUUGAGUUUGUUCAAAAUGAGUUAGACCCUUGUUGAGAGAUUUAUCAUGCUCCUAAGAUCAAGACAUUAUUUCAGUAAGAUUCACUCUUCCGAAGUAUUAUUGCAUUAGAGGCAUGGGCUAUGCAAAAAUAGAAAUAUUUCGAGGAAAUAAAAAGGAGCAAAUGCUCGACAACCUCGCAGAAAAAUGAACAAGUGUCCGGCAGUAGAAUUAGGGGUACCUCAGUAUCCACUAAAAAAAUGAUAGCCCAUGGUCCCUCUAAUAAGCAAUAUGCCAGCAAGAGUUGACAAAGUUUUUAAUUUCCAAAGUCUUUGAUCUAAGAGUAUGACAUUUCCCUCCUCGGAUCCCGUUUUGAUCAGGCAAUAAAUGCAAAGUAAGUAUGCUUGAGAAUUUUUGCAAAAUAAAACAGCCUCGGUGAGAUAUAUAUAAAAGAUAAUGAGUGAUCUGAGAGAACCUAUGAGGAUAAAAAGGUAUGCUAACUUUCUUUCAAAAAUAUACAAAAGCUCCAAGUGGCAGGAUUGAGAAGAAAGGAUCUUUACUCUUAACCAUAUACAUCCCUGACUAUGGUACACAGUGAAUUUUUAACACCCUGCAAUUAUAAAGAGAAUGCUUAAAAUGUUUACCCCAGAUAUUUUUCUUAACCAUCCUUUUCUCGAGGACGAGUAAAAGCCUAAGUAUGGGGGUAUUUGUUGACGGUUCUUAAGUAUCAAUUUUAAUUAUCAAAUAAACAAGAGAAAGGACCAAUAUGCAACCAUCACCUAGAAUUAGGGUUUGAUCUGACAGAAUUCCACGAGUUUUGUUGUUUAUCUGUUUCUGCAGGGGGUUAUCAGGAAAUAAGGAAGAAAGGCCCACAUGUCGGGAUUACUUAGAGAUAUCAACGCAUCGCGUAAUUUUUCAUCAUCUAGAAGACUCCAGAAGCCACGAGACCGAAGCGGAGGCGAAACUGGGCCAGGCCCAGGGCGCCCGCCCUGGUAGCCUGGGCGCCCGCCCCCCUGUUAGAGCCAAAUCAGGACUCUUUCGCUCGGGAUAUUCCACCGACCUAUUGGAUCAAGAAAAACGUAGUACCACCUCGCCUAUCGACCCAAAAACGCAUAGAAGGGGAGGACUAUAUAAGCAAGGCCCCCUGGCCCGUGGAGAAGACAUGAAGAAAUUAUCAUAGAGACUGAGGGGUGCCCUCGAAGGAAAACCUCUUCUCUAAUUAAUAUUUCUUUUUAGGCUUAGCAAUCAAUGUAAGGUAGAAAUAGAUCUUCUAGUUUCUACUAGAUUGAGAGAGAUAGAGUGGAGGUGCAGAUUGGAAGAAGCCCGGCCUGUCGGUAUCUACUCCAAGCUUGUACCUGCGGGAUCAAGUUCUCCUAACUCGAAGCUUGCUCCUAGGAUUCUUCAGUAAUUCGACUUCUAAAUUCUAGUAAGUUCUUGUUUUAUUGUUCUUAUGGUUUAUGAGUUUACUUCAAUCUCUUCGCGUAGAGUUUAGAGUUAUCAUUGCUAGCGUAAACGUGGUGUUUAGGCUGGGGUACUCAUAGAUAUUCCCUGACUAGCUGGACCGUGGUAGUAGUUGUUGAUAUUUGGUAACGCAAUUAGAAAAUGAUCCGCAAGCGCACGGAUAUCGGUGAGCAUUUCACCCGGGAGGUUUUCUAGAGUAUCGUAUUUAUAUUUUUACCACUGGGAGAAAUGGUGCAUCUGACUAACCAAAUCUAUUGCUACUAUCCCUUUAGGCUACAAAGAAUGUCUCUCGAUGUGAGUGAUGUAUAGAGAAGACUGCAACCGUAGUCUCGUUCUAACCUUGGUAAGGAUGAUCUACUGUUCUAUUGGGGAGGCUCACGGAAUCUAGACAACACAAAGGAUGUUCGACCCGCACCUAUAAACCUACCCGUCCUGCUAACGAGAUGUGAUCUGCAAAGGUAACUCGGAAAUGUCACGUUCCUCGCAACUACCACGGUCUAGCUAGUCAGGGGAUAUCUAUGAGUACCCUAGCCUAAACACCACGUUUACGCUAGCAAGUGAUUACUCUAAUACUCAACCGGAAGAGGAUUAAAGUAAACUCAUAAACCAAAGAACAAUAAAACAAGAACUUACUAGUAUUAGAAGUCGAAUUACUGAAGAAUCUUAGAAGCAAGCCUCGGGUUAGGAGACUUGAUCCCGUAGGUACAACUCGGAGUAGACACCGACAGGCCGGCCUUCCUCCGAUCCACACCUCCACUCUAUCUCUCUCAAUCUAGUAGAAACUAGAAGAUCUAUUUCUACUUUACAUUGGUUGCUAAGCCUAAAAAGAAAUAUUAUUUAGAGAAGAGGUUUUCCUUCGAGGGCACCCUUCAAUCUCUAUGAUAAUUUCUUGUCUCCUCCAGGGGCCAGAGGGGGUCUCCUUAUAUAGUCCUCCCCUUCUAUGCGUUUUUGGGUCGAUAGGCGAGGUGGUACUAUGUUAUUCUGGAUCCAAUAGGUCGGUGGAAUGUCGUGUGCGAAGAGAGUCCGGAACGGAGUCCAGAGGGGGGCGGGCGCCCAGGUCCUCAGGGCGGGCGCCCUGGGCCUGGCCCCUUUCGGGCUCCGCUUCCUUCCCGUGGCUUCUGGAGUCUUCUAGAUGGUAGAAAAUUGUGCGGUGCGUUGAUAUCUCUAUGUAAUCCUGACAUGUGGGCCUUUCUUCCUUAUUUCCUGAUAACCCCCUGCAGAAAUAGACAAACACCAAAACUCGUGGAAUUCUGUCAGAUAAAACCCUAAGUCUAGAUGUUGAUUUCAUUUGGAUCCUUUUCUUUGUUUAUUUGAUAAUUAAAUUUGAUACUUAAGGACCGUCAACAAACUCCCCCAAGCUUACCUCUAGCUCGUCCCUGAGCAAGGAUGAACUCAAGAGUUUCUGCAGUGGUUUCAUAUCUUAGAAGUACACACGCAUUUAAGCAAGAUCUCAUCUCUGAGUUAGAAUAAACUGUUUAGACUUAAAACUUACUUACUUUACCUACACCAUAGGACUUGUAACCGUCACUUCUGUCUUGAGUGGUUAAAAGAUAGAACAGUCUAGCCAAGUGCCAUGUCUCUUAUUCUUGAUCAGCUAUAGCUCUGGUGUUUUUUGAAGAUUUUCAAAUAAAACAUAGAAAUUCCUUGUAUGAUUCUCUCAGGUCUCUCUUUUGUGGUAUUUUUGGAUCCUUACCAAGGCAGUGAUGGUAUAUGUCUUCUCUCAAAAUAUGUAGUAUUUGUGGUAUGAAGCAUAGUGUCAUUGUCUUCUCUCUCACCCUACUCUAAUAAGGCUUUAAUACCUGAAGCUCAUAGGUGGGAGAUAAAGUAUACAUACUUACAAGACAUUUAUUGCAUAGUCAAACUAUGGAUCCAAAGAAACAAAUCAAUAAGCCAAAUCAAGAUGUGCAUGUGUGGCGAAUGAAUGGUGUAUGUUGAUGACGGUGAUAACAAUGGUGGUGGAAGCCUAAUUCUACUUUGCUCUUUGAGGGGAUACAUACCUUCCUUGCUUUUGAAACUUUAUGAGGAGAAUGAGAUGCUCUUCUUUUUCUUUUCUUUCGAGGUUCCGAGCACUUGCUCCUUUUUAUUUCCUCGUAUCUUUUAUUUUCUUUUUCUCUUUUUUUUUCAGAGCAUUCAUCUCUUGAGAUAAUAUAGCAAGUGGUAGUAACAAGAUAACUUGAGCAUUUAUUUCACAAGGGGAAACAGAAAUAUUUUUGGUUAUUCUCUCCCGGAUUAGGAGUAGAAUACUUUUGGGUGGUUUUGGAGAUGGAAAUGAGUGGAUAUAUGUGGAUGGUACUUCCGGAGUAGAAGUAGCAUGUAUGAGUGAACGUGCAAGUGAAUCUUGAUUUAACCACAUGACAAGCUCCUAAGGGUCUACACAGUUUGACCACACUCAAUGCGCAUAAGCAGUAAAUAGUAAAUGUGUGGCUCAAGGUCUAGCAAGCAUGUAUAUAUGGCUGUGGCAGGAAUUUAAACUCUCAUCAUACAGGAACUCAUCAUGUGUUAUUUUAAAGAUUUUUCAAAGAUAAAAUUCUCCAGAAUUCUAGUAUCUCUAGGAACAGAUAAACAUCAGCUCAACCUUCCUAUAUCAUAUCCGUUAACGACUUAGACUUUAGAUCAAGUACUCUUCCCACAAGUUUAGGUUUAGAGCAAGCUUUAGAUUAUAACAGUUAUGCCUAAACUUGAGAGAGAUUUCAAUUUUAAGAACUAGUCAUGGCAGAGCAACUAUUCAUCAUUUCCAUGAGAGAGCUUAUCAUGAGGGUUCAUAGCAAAUUUUAUUUAUUUAUUUAUUUAGCAAACUAAGCAAAGAUAUAUAUAAAAGCACAAAAUCUUUAUUUGGGUUUUUCAUAGUUUAUGUAUUUUAAUAUUCUAACAAAAUAUAAGUAUAAAGAUAGGUAGAAAUACUUAGCGAGAUAAAUGGGGGUGCUCUCCCCCAAGCUGGAUUUUGACGUAAUUUCUCUUGAUGUAGCUAGCAGGUGGCAGAGGUGUGUUUGAAAGUCAGCAGUAUUUUGACAGCGAUUAGAAUGUCCUCCGUCUGCUAGUCUUCUUGAUUCUUAAAUUCUGUGGAGCUCAAAUAGACAACAAAGCUUGUGGAACUGAUUAAGUGUUAGCAUAAAUAUCUAGCCUUUAUCAUGUUGAGACUCCUUAAUAAAUAUUACUCCCUGUUUUUAUAUUUUUGUUUUUAUAAAGCAGAAAAAUAUUUAUUUUAUUUUUAUGCCACCACAGUGAAUGUACUUAUGGGUUUUAUGCCACUCGUCUACUCACAUGGGGCUUACAAUUUUUUUUCACAUUUUUAUUUUCUUUCUAGGAUGAUACGAACAUGAUUAACUAAGUAAACUAUUUGAAAUAAUUAAAAGGGAAAGGAUAACUACCAAGUUUACCUCUUGGCAAGGCGUUCGGUGUUUUUAAGUCCUCCGAGCGGGACUAUCCAUUUUCUUAAUCGUCCUGAGGUUCGUUGGGUGGCGUAGUCGGUACUUCCGGCAGCGCCUCCUCUUCAUUUAUAACUAUCUUCUCUCUCCACACCUAACUCGGUGCUACGGUCUCCUCAGGACAGUUAUGUUCAAGUGGUAUGUCUUCAGUCCUUAUCACUUCUCCUUCGUAGUCUACCCAUCCGUCCUUGAUGAUUUGCCUCCUCUGGUUGCGGUUGCGAUGUCUUCUUCUUGUCCUGACCUGAUUAGAGUCUUCAACUAUAUAGUUAGGGUCAGUAAAACAGCGGCAUACCUUCUCAGAGGAGAAGUGUAUGUGGACUUCUCCAGUUCCAAUAUAGAUGAUGGCUUUGAUAGUGCUGAGGAACUGUCUUCCAAGGAUGGUGGGUGGAUCAUACUCGUCUUCUCCCAUGUCAAUGACCUGAAAAUCAUCUAUAGCUGAAUGUAUAUUUGUUGUAGGGGCAUGGUUUCAUCCAGGAGCUGAUAAGUGACUACGGCCAUUAUGUUGACGUCAGAUCCGGUGUCGUAGAGUGUCUUCUGAAAAGAGUAUCUGUUGAUUGUGCACUCAAUGCUUAGAACACUAGGGUCGUCCUUCUUGAACUGCAGUGACCAUCUUAGCUGACUCGGUCCACAUUUGCUUGUUCCUGUUCCUCUUGUUGGUCCUCUUCCUUGGUUCAUGUCGGGGUUGCUCUGAAGUUUGUGUAGUCUUGUUCUUGAAGGAAAGUCUCCUUCUUCCCCUUGAUGUAGAGACUGAUCUUGGCAGCAUUAGCGUAGAUGACAACUCUAGUGUUUAGGAAUGGCCUCCCUAAGAUGAUGGGUGCCCUCUCCUCAGUACCAGUCUCUAUCACCAUGAAGUCUGCUAGAGCAUACAAGGUACCAACUCGGACGCAGAGGUUCUUCAAUAUUUCCUUUGGGAAACUGAGUGUCCGAUCUGCAACCCUGGGCAUAAUGUUGACGCUGGAGCCAAAGUCGCAGAGUGCUUCUGGGAAGUCCACCAUGCCGAUGGAGAUCGGGAUGACGGGGCAUCCUAGAUCACCUCUUUGAGUAAUUAGGCCUCUGUUGAUUCCAACCUUGAUGUUGUUGAGGACGGUUGUAGUAAUAGUUGUUAUUGUUGUUGAUGUAGUUCACGUCCUCAAGCAUCUUAGGGCAGUGAUUGCCUGAGCGUCCAGUAUCUCCAGUGUGUUUGUGCUCGUAGAUCCUAGUUCUUCACUUGGUGG